rnacentral:lncRNA from 1 species
UCUUUUGUGGUAUUUCUGGAUCCUUACCAAGGCAGUAAUGAUAUAUGCCUUCUCUCAAAGUAUGUGGUAUUUUUGGUAUGAGGCAUAGUGAUAUUGCCUUCUCUCUCACCCUACUCUAAUAAGGUUUUGAUAUCUGGAGCUCAUAGGUGGGAGACAGAUAAUACAUACUUACAAGACAUUUAUUGCAUAGUCAAACCAUGGAUCCAGAAGGACAAGUCAAUAAGUCAAAUCAAGAUAUGCAUGUGUAGCGAGUGAAUGGUGUAUGGUGAUGAUGGUGAUAACAAUGGUGAAAGUCUAAUUCUACUUUUACUCUUUUAAGGGGAUACAUACCUUUCUUGCACUUUGAAGCAUUUUGAGGAGAAUGAGAUGCUCUAUAUUUUCUUUUUCUUUUCUCUCAGGUGGGUAUCUUGUACCCCUAAUUCUAUGUAACACCCAAAAUUUGAUUUUUAAAUAAUAGGAUUUAAUUUGAUUUAUUUAAGUAUUUUUGUGACCAUUUAAUCUAGAAAAUAAGUAAUUUUUGGUGGAAAAUAAAAUUUAUCAUAAGUUUAGAAACUUGAAUUUUGCAUUUCAUGCUGGAGCAUAUUUAAUUCUGUGUUGUUGCCCUUUUUGUUUGAAUUCAUUUGAUUCAAAUUUCAUUUGAAAAAUGCUUUAGAAAAAGGAAUAAAAGAAAAAAAAGAAAAGGGGAAGGACCCCAGCCGAACCCCAGCUUUUCCCCCCUCCUGCGCGCGGCCCAUUUCUCUCCCCCGGCCCGGUUUCCUUUCCCCCCCCCGCGCGGCCCAGGCUCGCGCCUCCCCCCUUCUCCCAUCCGCUGACGGCCGGACCCCACCUCUUCUUUCACCGCCAGCCGGGUCCCGCAUGUCAGCGCACUGUUUAUCCCCUUCCUUUCUUCUUCACGUAACCUAGCCGGCUUCUCUCCCUCACCGAUUUGGAAACAAACCUCCAAUCUCAGGAUUCCUUGCCAAAUCACGCGCAACUGAGCCCUAUAAAGCUCUCUAUCCACCCCGAAUCCCUAUUUUCGCAUCCAAAUCGCCCUAAUACACCCUACCUUCGCUGUUUGGAUCUUGCCGUGAGCCACGCGAAGCCGCCGCCGUGACGCGACCUCCCCACCCUCUUUCGGCUCGAGUAAACCAUCUAGGUGGGUUCUCCUCCUCCCCCUCGACCCCCCGGUGCUUUUCCUUCAAGAAACGGUGUUCGGAAUCGGCCAGGUAGCAAGCUCCGGCGAGCUCGGUCUCCCCGGCCAUGGCGCCACCGCGCUGGAGGCCAGAGAGCCGGCCGGCCCGCUGCCCGGUGACCCCUGGAGAAAUCUCGGCCGUCGGAUGGAGAUCGGAUGGCCCGCAAAUGAAGAUACCCCUUCGUUAGAAAUCUUUCUAAAGAGUCCCUGUGUUCUUUUGCAAUUUAACCCACGGUCCUUUACGUACUUUCCCGUUUACGCUUUCCAGUUUUAAAAGCGUAAUCCUGUCCGGUUCAAUUCAAUUUACGCUUUCGAUUAUUUACAGUUUUGCCAUCAAUUUUAUAUUGCUCAUAAAAUACUCAUUUUAAUUCUGUUUUUGUCCAUUCAAAUUUCGUUAGAUUCGUAUUUAUGAGCUCUACAUGUUAGAAGUAUUUAUUCUCUGUAUUGGAACUCUUUAAUUCUGCAGUAGCAUUUAAUUAAUUAUUUCUCUAUAGGAAAUCUUAGAAAAUUCAUAACUUCUAAGUUUAAAUUCCGAUUUUCGUGAACUUUACGUUUGUGUGAUCGUAGCGCUGCUAGAAUAUUUUCAUAAACUUUAUCUUUGGUUUCUCAAUGUUGGUGUAAUGUUCUAAUUAUAGCUUGUUUGCUUUGUGUAUGAUUGACUACAUUGGAUUGCGUGUUGUUGACUGAUGUUUGGGAAUAGACGGUGAGCCGUACGUUGGUGAUCAAGACCAAGCUUUCGAAGACCAGUAGGCUCAGGAGAGCUUUGAUCAAGGCAAGUAUAACUUGGGAUCAUCCUUGUUGCCUAUUCACUUAUAACUACACAUAUAUGUCAUAUGCAUGCUAUCACCUUGUCGACCUUAGCAAAAUCAUAGAUGAUUGUUACCUGGAUUCCUUGCUACCUACUUGAUAUGCAUUUGUUGUAGAUGUGCUAGUGCUUGAUAUAAUCCAUGAUCUUGUAAGAUGAUUAAUAGCUAUGCAAUGAACAUAAAAGAAUGACAAAUAACUGUAUGAGAUCUUGUCUGUAAGUGACCACCGGGACAACAGUGCAACCAUGAGGGCUAUAGUGGCUCUGGCUUUAGCUCAGUAUGAAGACCUUUUCUAGCUUGUUAGAGGUUACCCGAAAGGGCAGAGGGGCUGAACCGUUUUGGGUAUAGUGCGAGCCCCUGUCCCUAUGUGUAUAUGCUGCGCGUCAUUGUGCCAUUCGGAAGGGGGUAUCUAUAUCUGCGCGCAAAGGAAACCUUGCGGCCCUAACAAGUUAGACAAACUUUUGAAAGGCUUCAUAGUGAUCCCUGCCGACCUCCCUAGGAAGGGGGUUAAGAGAUUAGCUACCUCGGGCGAAAGGGUAAAUCAUGAUUCAUGGGUAAAGAUGUACAACCUCUGCAGAGUGUUAAAACUGGUAUACUAGCCGUGCUCACGGUUAUGAGCGGCCUUGGGGGUUCUUGCUGCGCCGACGAUGAGCUUAUUAAGUUGUUAUGUCCAUUUGAUUAUCGUUUAUGCUAUGGAUUAAUUAUGCUUACACUUGAUCAUGUGAUUAAUGGAUUAUUUAUGCUACCUUGACAUUUGCUAUUUAAUUAUGAAUAUGCUAUCCACUAUUAAAAGCUAAAUGCAGUCAAACCAGUGUAACAUCCCUGAUGUUACGGUUACUAAACUGGACCAUGUCAUCAUAAGCAUUGCAUAGCAUAUUGUUUAAGCACAACUUGAUGCACCAACUUAAAACAAGUUUAUUUUGAUUGAUUGUGCUUAGGGAAUUAAAGUGUGCUUACAUUGUGUACUGAUGCUUGUGUUGGUUGCUACAACCCUAGGGUGAAAGAUUUCCGAAAGAUUAGGGGGGAAAACCCUGAUUUUAAAACCCUAGAUUUACCCCCUUUUGUGCAAUUUAAAAACCAAGCAAAAUUUGAGGUUGAGUUCAAAAGCAAAGUUGUAGAUCUUGUUAAGAUGUACAACUUUUGUGUUUUGAGUUUUUGAAGUUUCAAUAUAAAAUUCAAAUUAAUUUUGAAAAUACAGAUUUCCAAAAAGUGUCCCCUUUUCCAAUUUGAACCUCCAAUUCAAAAUCUAUUUGGAAUUUUGAAAAGUGACCAACAUGAAAAUUGUAGAGCUCAAAAAGAUGAACAACUUUCAUGUUGGGAGUUUUUCAAGUUGUUAUGGAAAAUCAAAAGUAACUUUGGAAAUUCUGAUCUGCCCCAACUCAAAAAUUUGAAUUUCCCCAAAUUGAAAUUUGAACUUCAAACUGUUUGGUCAAAUUCACCAUGUUCCACUCAAAAUUAGCUUUGGUCACCAAAACAUGUUUUGUACCUUAUAAAAUUCUGAACAACUUUUGUUUUGGUGGAAUUUUGGCUCCAGUUCAAAUUAUAGGCGAAUUUUGCAAAACAACAGAACAAGUGGAUAUGGCUUGCUAUAGUGCUGAGCAGGGGGGGUGCUCUGCCGCCGGAACAGAGCCGCUGCGUCCGGCGCCACCACGCGCCUGGCCACGCAGCUGCUUGCUGCUGUGCCUCGCUCGGACGUCCUCAUCCGCAGCGCGCACUCCGUCGCGUGGAUAAAGCCCCGGGUGGCCGGGGUAUUUCCUUUCCUUUUUCUGAACCUCACCGCCGACGGCCACCAGUCGACACCAAAAUCCACCGUUGCCUUAGCUUCUUCAUCCACGAGCUCUUGCUCCCAACUCUGCCAAGAACCCCGCAACCGUUUGCGCCCCUGAGCGCAAGCUCUACCCUACCGUAGCUCCAACCCGAGCCGUUCUUCUCCAACCCCGGCCAAAACGCCGCCGCGGACACUCCACCGUGGCCAGCUUCACUCCAAGCCUCUCCACUGCCGCUUCUUGCUCCGUUGGAAUCGCGAUGAGCCACCGAUGCUUUUGCGCUGGUCAAUUCGCGCUCUACUCGAUCGUAGAGGCCGGCGUCUGCUCGGCCGAGGUAGCCGCCCGCCGCGCCCGUGGCCAUGGGAGCUAGACUAGGAGAGAGCGAGGGUUUAGGGGGUCCAGAGGUGCGCCUUGAAGUGGAGAACGCGACCAGCGAGUCGCGAGGAGCGAUGAUGGCGCGGAUGGCUCGGUCGCGCCGUCGAUUCGGCCGGCCGGAGCUUGAAGACGAAGCUGACAGCGGGGGCCCGCUGUCAGCGACGCCUGAGUGGAGGCGAGGGCGCGCGCAGUGCCCGCGUGGGCCGAGCGCGGACAGGCCGGCAUGCGGGCCGAGUUCCUGGGCCGCUCGUGGCAGUGUUGUUUUUCUUUUUCUGUUUAUGCAAAAUUUGAUGUAUGUUUGAAUUUGAAUAGAAAAUCAUAUGUUGAUUCAAAAAUAAUGAAACUUUUUGUGUAAGUUCUAUAAAAUAAAUAGAACAUAGGAAAAAUAUUAGGUUCUAUUUUCUGGUAGUUUGCCUGUGUAUAAAAAUUGCCUCUCUAAUUUAGUGCAUAAAACUUCUAGGAAUUUUAAUAAUUUAUUGAUAUGUCCAAAAAUCACCAAAAUUUGUGAGAUGCCUCUGAAUAUUAUUCCAUGGCUUCACACAAAAUUUGGUGGCAUUUGGAUAAUGUUUGAAUAAAAUAAUAUUAAACCCUUAAUUAGUAAUUAAAUAAUAAUUCUAGAAUAAUCAGAUAAUAAUUAGUUAAAUUCUCAAAAUUAGGGUUUUAGUGAUUUUGGGAUUAUGUGAUGACCUGAGGUCAUUAACCUAAUGACCUUUGGCAUUUAAUUAUUGUUUGGCUUUAAUACUCAAUUGUUGUUAUUAAUAUUUAAUUAAGAAUUAUUUAAGAUAAAAGGGUUAAUAAUUAGUUAAUUAAGAAUAAUUAUGAAUUAAGAAAAGUCCUAAUUUACAGAUGCAACCUCUUGGGUAGAGACACUAAGAUGUUAGACAACUUUAAUUAUUGUUUAUUCUGUGUUGCACCGAGGAGGCCAGUUAUACCUAACUUGGUCCCUUUUUGCAUAUUCGUCAUACGCAUAUCAUGAGCAUUCAUCAUUUUGCGUAUAGUGCCGGUGACCGAAGGAGCGACCGUUGAACCGAACCCCGAGGUCGGUGCUCCGUUCGAGGAAGUAGGAUCCGAGACUUGGGAAGUCUCCGAGGGUCCCUCUCAGCUCUGCAACCAAGGCAAGCCCCGGAUGCAUUAACCCUUCCUUAAAUGUUUUAAAUCUUUUAUCACUUAUGAAUUGAAAAUGCUGCAUUAGGUAGACGAGAAUUGGGUUAACCUACUUGCUGCAUUUACUACCUUGAUAUUUGUUAUCUUGUCCUUUGCACCUGUUUCAAUUGAAAACCGCGUAGUAAUGCUUAGCCCUGCUACUAGAUAGGUUUUCAAACAAAGUUUGAAGGGUUGUUGUGGAAUACACGUAUGAUCAAUGAUGUUUCAAUUUGAGACCGGUCGGUGGACUUGCUUUAAGAAUGGAGUCUUAAAGUAGUGUCUCCAACUGUGUCGAUUAAGGACCGUUCCGUUGAUGGCCUGCUAGGUUGAGAAUUUAUAGUACUAGCCACUUGCCCUCGGUAAGCCCGAUCUUGUAAUCCCUCGACGCGAACAGCUACUCGCGCACUGGGCGUGGAGCGAUGGCGAGAGUAGCGUGUACCCACCUUACGGAUCUGAGAUGACUGGGAAACGUCUAGAUCGGCGGUAGGAUGGUGGGGUACUGUGCUCUCGGGUGCCGCGAACCUGGUCAAAUUUGGGGAGAGCUAGAGUUGGGUUGACAUAUGCAAGAUUUGGUUCUACAUAUGUCGGGUGGUUAGGAACUCCAGCUGGAUUGCUAAGCGAUUCGAAUCGUCGUUGCUCCCCGAUUGGGAGACUCAAUUCCUUCGACCCUCAUCGUAGUUAAUUAUGCAACUAAAGGAUAAAAUAAGAAAGGGGAAAAUGUCUCAUGAGGUUUGGAUCCCAAUUCCCGGACUCAGAGUGACAUGAAGCUAUGGCCGUUGGAUAAAUAAUACUUUGAUUACGGAUUAGGAACUUAUAGACUUGUCUGUGAGAAGCAACUAGAUAGACUGUCCUCGAACUCCUCGGCCUCUUUAGGAGAGGAAUUCGCGGGUAAAACUUGAAAGUAAGGAUGCACUAUUAGUAAGCUUUUCCGCAAAACACUUUGGCUCCUUGCUCAACCACCCCUUGUCUACCCUAAGCCUGCAUCCCUAAUUUCUCCUCUUUUUCUACCGGGUAAGUCUUGUUGAGUACUCCCGUACUCAGGGUUUUAUAACCCCUGUUGCAGGUGAAGCUCAAGAGCCGACUUGUUUCGGACCCUGUUGUGUGUCCGUCGUCGAGGUUGACGACGAGGAAGAGUGAGCGUGACCCAUGGGCAGGGUCUGUAAAUUUGUAAUCUCUGUAUUAAAGUUUAAGUUGCUCCGCUGGACCUGGCUUGUAAUAACACUCUACUAUUUGGAAGAACUACUCUUGUAAAUUAAGUUAUGCAAUACUUCCGCUGUUUACUCUGAAAGCUUAUUUUGGUCUUGUGUCGUCUGUGAUACUGCAUUGUCUUCGCAACGAAUGAUCCUAGUGUUAAGGUGGCCACUUGCUAUCCUGUAAGGGAGAGAAGAAGAAGUUCUCGUUAAUUGACCAUCGCUAGUGGUCAGGACGAGUUCGCUUGAUACUCCACAGGUAGCGGUGGGAUGAGCGUCCUGAGAUGCUCAUCGGAUUCCUAGAGUGGGAGGAUCCCCGGCAUCACCGUCAGAGGUCCUUGGGACAAUGACAGGUGUCGGUGGGCCCAAACACUUAGGAGGUUCUACCACAGCUGGUAUCGGAGCAUUCGUUGCUAGGAUGACUGCUGUAUCCUUUGAAAAACUUCAAAACGCAUUUGGAUCCAAUACUAUAAACUUGCCUAUUUUGAGUCCAAGUGCUUUAGUCCCAUCUUACCCCUGUCUGUAGGCCUUCUUAGAAUUUUUGAAGUGGUACGGAGGAGCAACAUAAGGUAUUGCCCUGUGUUAUAAAGUUUUAAGUAAUAUUGUUACGAAUUCCUAGUACGACUCGUAAAUUCGUGCAUGCAUCAUGAUAUAUUACUUGGUUAUAGUUCCUUCCUCCUUGUUUGGGUUGGGUUGCAUAGAAUCAAUCCCCUUCUUGCUAACCCGUAAGGUCUCUCUUACUAAUCCAAACUUACCCUCUAUAGGAUGGGCCGUUGGAAACAGACCCCGCGCAAGAGGACUGGUCCAAAAGGGGUUCCUAAACACCAGAUGGCCCCGCGAAGCGAUCAAGCAAGCAGUAGCUGUUCACCAUCUCAGCAGGAGGUGGAAAGAUUGUCCACCGAGCUGACCGAAGUGAUGAGAGAAAGGAUGUACAACGUCAUGGAGAUCGGUGAACUUAAAGCUCAACUAACCAAAGAAAAACAAGCCACAGAGAACUGUGAGGCCAUGCUGUCCCGUAGGGUGGAGGAGAGGAAUGCCGCUAUUGCCCGAGAAGAGGAAGCCAGGAGUGCACACAGGCACGAGCUGACCAGGAUGAAGGCAAAGCUGGACAAAACCAAGUACCUUAAAGAUCUGUACAUGAAGAUGAUGGCCACGGUCACCGCGCAGCGGGAUGUUGCGUGGCAGCGGGAGGACCAUCUCCAGUUGGAGAAGCUAGAGCUGGCACAUCAUUUAGACACCGUCAACGACUUGGCAAUGCAAUAUCAUGAUAUUGCAUUUGACCUUUAUCAUCAGCUCCAUCCACCUCCAAGCGAAGGAGAGAUGGAUACGGAUGGAGAGUUGGCGGAUGCUGGGGAACCCGACCAAGACCUCAGUGACAGGGAGGAAUCUGACUCCGGUGAUGACAACCCGGGGGGUAAUCAUGACGAUGGCAAUGACGACCCGGGCUACAGCUCUUGCCACACCGACUAGUUCGGUGAAGCUGCGGGCAACGUCGUUGUAGGAUUCCUAGUUUACCGUAGUGGGGUCGGGUUUGUAGUAUAGAGUUUUCUUUCAGUCUAAGAAGUUGUACUCGUUUGUUUCUAGUGUGUUGAACUGAUGUUUGAUAAAUAAAUGGAAGUAUGUAAGAUAUGUUCUAAGUUAUGAAUUUCAUGUAGUAACAAGUACUUAUAACUCUUGUAGCAGAUGCCGAUGCGUACACGAGGAUCUGAUAGAGCCGGGACGUCUCAGGGAGGGGAGGACAUCCCCAACCCUCCACCUGCUCCACCUUCUCUGGCUGAUGCCAUUGCUGUCCUUUUGUGUGCCACUACUGACAACGCUCGCUUGCUGCGCGAGUUAGCACAACGCCAACCACACCCCGCCCCAAACUUCAGGGCACAGCACAAUGGGGACGGAGAAACUCGGUACGUGGACUUUACCGAGACAAGGCCCCCGGUAUUCACCAAGGCUGAUGAGCCGUUAGAAGCGGAUGACUGGCUCCGGACCAUGGAGCACAAGUUCAGUCUGAUCCGAUGUUCGGAAACUCAGAAGCCCCUGUUCGCAGCUCAACAGCUUCGGGGAGCUGCGCGUGCCUGGUGGGAGAACUUUCUAGCUAUCCAAGCUCUGGGACACCAGGUUACCUGGACAGAGUUUAAGGACGCGUACCGCGCCCAUUACAUCCCUGAAGGGCUUAUGGCCAUGAAGGCCGAGGAGUUUCUCGCCUUGCAGCAAGGCGAUAAAAAUGUCAUGGAGUACGUGGCAAAAUUUAAUCAUCUUUCUCAAUAUGCCACAGACCAUGUGAACAUGGAUAGAAAGAAGAAGGCCUGUUUCAUGUGUGGUCGAAAUACCAAACUUCAGACCAUGAUGACCACCUGUCAAAAUGCUACCUUCUAUGAGGCAGUAAAUAUUGCCAUCGCCUCAGAAGAAAAGAAUAGAAAGCACAAAGAAGCCAAGAAGAAGGCUGCUUCUUCCUCCUUCUCUGGUCGUGGUCAAAAGCGCCAGAGAAUCAUUUAUCAUCCACAGGGCCACGGACGCUUUCCAGCGCCGUCACCUUAUCGUGGUCCCUUUUCCCCACCACAAUAUAGACCAGGGCAGCAGGUAUACCCUCGACCUACUGCCAUCACCACUGCACCACGCCAGCCGAACGCCCUAGGUGUUCGUCCCACUGCUCCGCCCAGCCACAAUUAUCCUUGUUUCAAUUGUGGUAAGCCUGGGCAUUUUUCUAAGGAAUGCCCUUACCCCCACCAAACCAACCCCACCUUCCAAAGGCCACCCACUGGCCAACCCCAGCCAAGCCAAUUCAGGACUGGGGCUCAGAAAGGACAACAUGUGCAAAGGGGUAAACCCGUAAAGAAAGCGGGACAAGUCUUCCAUACAGAGGUGGAGACGAUCCCGGAGGGAGAACCAGUAAUGAUGGGUACAUUUCCUGUUGCGAAACAUCCUGCUUUAAUGCUUUUCGAUUCUAGUGCAUCUCAUACAUUCAUCAACCGCACCUUUGUGAUAAAGCAUGGCAUACCCAUUGGGGAAACACAAGAUCAUUUUUAUAUACAUUCGCUAGGAGGACGGCUGAGUUCUAAAGAAAUGGUUCACCAGGUACCCAUCAAAUUUGGUGGGCAUAGUUUUCCCACUAGCAUGAUUGUUCUUAAAGACCAAGAGAUUGAUGUCAUACUAGGCAUGAACUGGAUGGCACAACGAGGGGUUGUGCUAGACACUUUGCAUCGAACCAUUAAAAUACCAUUGCCCAAUGAAAAUUCUUAUUUGCUAAUUCAAUUAGUUACUCCCAAGCGGGCAAUUGGGCAAGUUCAUGCCACUAAUGUGUGUGCAGUCCAAGAUAUCCCGGUAGUUCGGGAUUUUCCGGACGUGUUUCCUGAAGACCUACCAGGUCUGCCCCCGGACGGAGAUGUCCAGUUCAGUAUAGAAAUGAAACCAGGGACAGCCCCAAUAUCUCGAAGGGCCUACAGAAUGGCACCGAAAGAACUGGCCGAAUUAAAAACCCAACUACAAGAGCUGUUGCAGAAAGGUUUUAUUCAGCCUAGUUCUUCUCCAUGGGGUUGUCCAGCCUUGUUUGUGAAAAAGAAAGAUCAAACACUAAGGCUGUGUGUUGAUUAUCGUCCCCUAAAUGAGGUGACGAUUAAGAACAAGUACCCAUUGCCCCGUAUUAACUUACUAUUUGACCAGUUGGCCGGGGCCAAAGUGUUCUCAAAAUUUGAUUUGAGAUCAGGGUACCACCAAAUUAAAAUUAGGCCGGAGGAUGUACCCUAGACGGCUUUUACAACCCGUUAUGGGCUGUAUGAAUACUUGGUGAUGUCUUUUGGGUUGACCAAUGCACCGGCCCAUUUCAUGUACUUGAUGAACUCUGUCUUCAUGCCAGAACUGGACAAAUUUGUGGUCGUCUUCAUUGAUGACAUCUUGAUCUAUUCAAAGACUAAGAAAGAACAUGCUGAACAUCUGAGAAUUGUGCUAACCCGUCUCAGGGAGCAUCAGCUAUAUGCCAAGUUCAGCAAAUGUGAGUUCUGGCUGGACAAAGUCCAUUUCCUGGGUCAUGUAUUAUCAGCGGAGGGAGUCGCUGUAGACCCAGGUAAAGUAGAAGAAGUGUUGAAUUGGAAGCCCCCGACUACGGUACAUGAGGUCCGUAGUUUUCUGGGUAUGGCGGGAUACUACCGUCGUUUUAUCCCGGACUUUUCCAGAGUCGCUAAACCAAUCACGACCUUGCUCAAGAAUCAAACAAAAUUUGUUUGGUCACCGCAAUGUGAGCAAGCCUUCCAGACUCUGAAAAGAUUAUUGACAACUGCACCUGUCUUAGCCCAGCCAGAUAUUGAAAACCCCUUUGAUGUGUAUUGUGAUGCAUCAGGGAUAGGGAUAGGCUGCGUGCUAAUGCAGGAGGGUCGCGUAAUUGCAUAUGCUUCCAGGCAGCUCAAACCACAUGAGGAGAAUUACCCGACCCAUGAUCUAGAAAUAGCCGCCGUAGUACAUGCAUUAAAGAUCUGGCGCCAUUACCUGUUGGGAAGCACUUGUCAUCUAUACACAGAUCACAAGAGCUUGAAGUAUAUCUUCACUCAAGCUGAAUUGAAUAUGCGCCAGCGAAGGUGGCUAGAGUUGAUUAAAGAUUACGACCUUGAGGUGCAUUAUCACCCUGGCAAGGCGAAUGUAGUAGCUGAUGCCCUCAGUCGUAAGGCUCACUGUAAUUGCUUAACAGUGACGCCUAGAGAUAUAACCUUGUGCCAAGAGCUAGAGAACUUGGGGAUAGAAAUGAUUUCCCAAGGAAGCCUUGCCAAUCUAAAGAUUGAUUUCAAUCUCGAAGCUCAAAUCAUAGAGGCACAAAAGGAAGACAAAGGUAUGAAAUAUCUUAAAGAGAAAAUUUCUAAUAGAGCACCCACAGACUUUAAGGUGGAUGAUGCAGGAGUAAUCUGGUUCAAAAACCGGUUAGUGGUUCCAAAGGUACCUGAGCUACGUCAGCAAAUCCUGGAUGAAGCUCAUACUACCAGAUAUUCUAUUCAUCCGAGGAGCAAUAAAAUGUAUCAGGACCUAAAGCAAAGGUUUUGGUGGACGAAGAUGAAGAUAGAAAUAGCCCGCUAUGUGGCCCAAUGUGACACCUGCCGAAAAGUCAAAGCUAUUCAUCUCAAAUCCGCUGGAGAGUUGCAACCUUUGCCUAUUCUAGCAUGGAAAUGGGAUGAUAUUAGUAUGGAUUUCAUAGUGGGAUUGCCCAAGACGGCCAAAGGCUUUGAUUCAAUUUGGGUCAUUGUGGAUCGUCUCACCAAAACAGCACACUUCUUGCCUGUAAAGACAUUAUGUCCUACCUCCACCUAUGCUAAGAUUUAUUUCGAUCGUAUACUAAGUCUACAUGGGGUGCCAAAGACAAUAGUGUCAGAUAGAGGCACACAAUUUGUCUCCCAGUUCUGGAAAUGUUUACAUGAAUCUUUGGGCACCAAACUUUUAUACAGAACAGCCUACCACCCUCAAACAGGUGGGCAAACAGAGAGGGUAAAUCAAACCCUAGAAGAUCUAUUAAGAUCUUGUGCCCUGAAUUUUCCAGAUAAGUGGGAUGACUGCUUGCCUCUAGCAGAGUUUUCUUACAACAAUAGCUACCAAGAGAGUAUCAAGAUGGCUCCUUUUGAGGCACUAUAUGGCCGUCGAUGUCGAACUCCGUUACACUGGUCGGAACCCGGAGAAAGAUGGUUCUUCGGGGUUGACUUAGUGAAAGAAACUGAGAACAAAGUUAGACAAAUCCAAAAUAACUUGAAAGUUGCUCAGUCCCGACAGAAAAGUUAUGCUGAUAAAAGACGUCGACCCUUAAGAUUCGCCAAAGGUGACCAUGUAUAUCCGAAAGUAUCCCCAAUGAAAGGAGUAAAUUGUUUUGGCGUUAAAGGCAAGUUAGCACCUCGUUACAUUGGUCCAUUUCCAAUUCUUGACCGAUGUGGACAGGUAGCUUACCGCCUUAAACUGCCCGAACGAUUAUCCGGGAUACAUAAUGUAUUCCAUGUAUCUCAACUAAAAAAGUGUCUUCGGGUACCAGACCAAGUUCAAGAUAUCAAGGAUGUGGAACUUGAACCGGAUCUGACUUAUGCAGAAUACCCUAUCCGAGUAUUGGACCAAAGAGAUAGAGUUACUCGAAGAACAACUACCAAGUGGUACAAGGUGCAAUGGAGCCAGCACUCUGAAGAGGAAGCCACAUGGGAAUCUGAAGAUUAUCUAAUGGAGAAUUUUCCUGAGUUCUACGCUUCUCUUCAAGACAACAUCUGAUAAAUAGGAAGUGUACUCUAGUGAAGGAACAGAGUAGCCAAAGCCAUGUACUUAGUGUACAUACAUGUUUAUAAUUGAGUAGUCUUCCCCAGCUUCUUGUCUUAUGAAAAGGUUGGAGACGAAAUAGUUUGACACAUUUCCUUUUCCAUUACAUACCCUAAGGCUUUAAAUCUCGGGGACGAGAUUUCUUUAAGGGGGAAGGGCUGUAACAUCCCUGAUGUUACGGUUACUAAAACUGGACCAUGUCAUCAUAAGCAUUGCAUAGCAUAUUGUUUAAGCACAACUUGAUGCACCAACUUAAAACAAGUUUAUUUUGAUUGGUUGUGCUUAGGGAAUUAAAGUGUGCUUACAUUGUGUACUGAUGCUUGUGUUGGUUGCUACAACCCUAGGGUGAAACAUUUCCGAAAGAUUAGGGGGGAAAACCCUGAUUUUAAAACCCUGGAUUUACCCCCCUUUUUGCAAUUUAAAAACCAAGCAAAAUUUGAGGUUGAGUUCAAAAGCAAAGUUGUAGAUCUUGCUAAGAUGUACAACUUUUGUGUUUUGAGUUUUUGAAGUUUCAAUAUAAAAUUCAAAGUAAUUUUGAAAAUACAGAUUUCCAGAAAGUGUCCCCUUUUCCAAUUUGAACCUCCAAUUCAAAAUCUAUUUGGAAAUUUGAAAAGUGACCAACAUGAAAGUUGUAGAGCUCAAAAAUUUGAACAACUUUCAUGUUGGGAGUUUUUCAAGUUGUUAUGGAAAAUCAAAAGUAAUUUUGGAAAUUCUGAUCUGCCAUAAUUCAAAAAUUUGAAUUUCCCCAAAUUGAAUUUUGAACUUCAAACUGUUUGGUCAAAUUCACCAUGUUCCACUCAAAAUUAGCUUUGGUCACCAAAACAUGUUUUGUAGCUUAUAAAAUUCUGAACAACUUUUGUUUUGGUGGAAUUUUGGCUCCAGUUCAAAAUUAUAGGCGAAUUUUGCAAAACAACAGAACAAGUGGAUAUGGCUUGCUACAGUGCUGAGCAGGGUGUGCUCUGCCGCCGGAGCAGAGCCGCUGCGUCCGGCGUCGCCACGCGCCUGGCCACGCAGCUGCUUGCUGCUGUGCCUCGCUCGGACGUCCUCAUCCGUGUUGGGUAUUCUUAACAUCAUUACCAAAAGUAGACUAAGUUCUCUAAAUCUAGUAACGGUGCCAAAAAUGCCAAACCUAUCCCUUACACCACUUAAGCCAAGUUGUCAUCCCCAGCAUGAUAUAAGAGACGCGGUAUUGAAAUAUGCAAUUGCUCUUCUAAAUAAAUAAUGAAUGGGAUCUGCAAGCGCACAGAUUAAUACCGAUGCAGCAUUUUAACCGGGAAGUAUUCCAGGUAUCGUUAUUUAUAUUUUUACCACUGGGAAGGGAUUAGCAAUCAUCACUACUGAUUACAGAAUAGAAUAUGAGAUUGAGCAUCUAUCACUGCAUGUAUAAUUGAGAACAUUAUAUCUAACUCUUCACACAGGGAUAAGUGUCACAUAAAAGAUAUAUGAAAUAAUAAUAGUGACAAGGAUAACUAAUAUGAUCUAGCCACAUAAUAAAUAUGAUAAGCACCUCAAUUAGAUACUCUAGAAAGUCAUUAGCAUGGUAUUAGAACGAACUACAAGAAUAUUCCCUAAGUUAUUCUCAACUAUAUAGUCUAGCAUAUCAUAGUUAGUGCAAGCAUACUUAGCAAUCAUUGUGAGACAAGACUACGCCCAUGCAUAGUGAUAUUAGCAAGGAAUAUGAGAAACAUAGCAAUCACUCCCCUGUAAUAAUGUUGCUCUGCCAGCCCAAUACACGAGAGGGGGACUAUAUAAGAAUCAAUGAAGCUGUCACUAUCACGAACCACCCCACGAUCUGGCAUAUUGGGUACAAUCGCAGAUAAAUACGGUAUAAGCACCACGCCUACACAAUAUCUAUCAUUUACCCAUGGAUCCAAUGGAUAAACGCUAUACGAUCCUAAGCAUGUAUAUAGAUCCAAUCUAACUAAGCCAAGUACAUAACUAUGAUAAACUAAGAACAAUAUAAUCUUGAAUAUAAGCAAGUAGAGCAAAGUCAUAAGCAAUAUAUUGAAGUAGAACAAAGUCAUAUUCAUAAUAUUGAAGAACAAAGAUAAUUAGAAAGCAAUUAGAAGCACAAUUAGAGAAUUACCAAGAAUCCUCCUGACAGAUCCGGAAACCAAUCGAAGAUUGACUCCUUCUAGUUCUAAUCCUAUGUAGCUAUGCUAAUCUAGAUAUCUAAUUGAUGUGGUGGCUCUAAUCUUGAUCAGAGGCUUCUUCUCCCUUGAUGGAACAAUGAAUUAGGGUUGUGAGGCUCCCUCCUCUAGGGGCCAGGGGGUCUGGUUUUAUAGUCCCUUCAAGUGAAUAUGAGCCCUUGGAUCAAACCGACAUAGAUUGUAUGGUUUAGAUUCAUCCUUUAGGUCGGUGGAGACUUUCCGCAAAGCAGAGUCCUGUUUGGACUUGGGGGUAGGGCGGGCGCCCAGUAGGACAGGGCGGGCGCCCUGUCUCUGGCCCCGUUUCGCCUCCGCUUCGGUCUCGUGGCUUCUGGAGUCUUCUAGAUGUAAGAUAAUUGCGCGGCACGUUAAUAUCUUUACGUAAUCCUGACAUGUGGGCCUUUCUUCCAUAUUUCCUGAUAACCCCCUGCAGAAAUAGACAAACACCAAAACUCGUGGAAUUCUGUCAGAUAAAACCCUAAGUCUAGAUCUUGAUUUCAUUUGGAUCCUUUUCUUUAUUUAUUUGAUAAUUAAAUUUGAUACUUAAGGACCGUCAACAAACUCCCCCAAGCUUACCUCUUGCUCGUCCCUGAGCAAGGAUAGACUCAGCUAUCGAUCAGAAGUUGCUGCAAUAUCUUUAAAAAUUGACGGUACACAUGCUUUUAAAUAAGAUCUCAUCUCUGAGUUAGAGUAAACUGUCAAGACUUAAAACUUACUUACUUUACCUCCACUAUGGGACUUGUAACUGUCACUUCUGUCUUGAGUGGUUAAAAGAUAGAACAGUCUAGCCAAGUGCCAUGUCUCUUAUUCUUGAUCAGCUAUAGCUCUGGGGUUUUUGCAGAUUUUCAAAUAAAACUCAGAGAUUCCUUGUAUGAUUCUCUCAGGUCUCUCUUUUGUGGUAUUUAUGGAUCCUUACCAAGGCAGUGAUGGUAUAUGCCUUCUCUCAAGAUAUGUAGUAUUUGUGGUAUAAAGCAUAGUGACAUUGUCUUCUCUCUCACCCUACUCUAAUAAGGCUUUAAUAUCUAGAGCUUAUAGGUGGGAGAUAAAGUAUACAUACUUACAAGACAUUUAUUGCAUAGUCAAACCAUGGAUCCAAAGAAACAAAUCAAUAAGCCAAAUCAAGAUGUGCAUGUGUGGCGAAUGAAUGGUGUAUGGUGAUGAUGGUGAUAACAAUGGUGGUGGAAGUUUAAUUCUACUUUUCCUCUUUGAGGGGAUACAUACCUUCCUUGCUUUUUGAAAUUUUAUGAGGAGAAUGAGAUGCUCUUCUUUUUCUUUUCUUUUCUCUCAGGUGGGUAUCUUGCACCCCUAAUUCUACUGUCGGACACUUGUCCAUUUUUACCUCUCGUCUCACUUUUUCUUUUCUUUCGAGGUUCCGAGCACUUGCUCCUUUUUAUUUCCUCGUAUCUUUUUUUCUCUUUUUUUUUCCAGAGCAUUCAUCUCUUGAGAUAAUAUAGCAAGUGGUAGUAACAAGAUAACUUGAGCAUUUAUUUCACAAAGGGAAAACAGAAAUAUUUUUGGUUAUUCUCUCCUGGAUUAGGAGUAGAAUAUUUUUGGGUGAUUCUGGAGAUGGAAUGGGUGGAUAUAUGUGGAUGGUACUUCCGGAGUAGAAGUAGCAUAUAUGAGUGAACGUGCAAGUGAAAUCUUGAUUUAACCACAUGACAAGCUCCUAAGGGUCUACACAGCUUGACCACACUCAAUGCUCAUAAGCAGUAAAUAAUAAAUGUGUGGCUCAAAGUCUAGCAAGCAUGUAUAUAUGGCUAUGGUAGGAAUUUAAAACUCUCAUCAUACAGGAACUCAUCAUGCAACAUUUUUAAAGAUUUUCAAAGAUAAAAUUCUCCAGAAUUCUAGCAUCUCUAGGAACAGAUAAACAGCAGCUCAACCUUCCCAUAUCAUAUCCGUUAACAACUUAGACUUUAGAUCAAGUUUUCAUCCCACAAGUUUAGGUCUAGAGCAAGCUUUAAAUUAUAACAGUUAUAUCUAAACUUGAGAGAAAACUUAAAAUGUGCAAAUUAGGCAGAGCAACUAUUCAUCAUAUCCAUGCUUAAGUUUUAUUUAGAUACAGAUUAGCAUAGCCACUUUAUUUAUUUAUUAAACACACUAAACAAAAGAUAUAUAUAUAAGCAUAAAAUCUUUAUUUGGUUUUCCAUAGUUAUGUAUUUUAAUAUUCUAAAAUAAUAUAAAUAUAAAGAUAGAUAGAUAGAAAUACUUAUCGAUAUAAAUGGAGGUGCUCUCCCCCAAGCUGAAUUUUGACGUAAUUUCUCUUGAUGUAGCUAGCAGGUGGCAGAGGUGUAUUUGAAAGUCAGCAGCAUUCUGACAGCGAUUAGAAUGUCCUUCGUCUGCUAGUCUUCUUGUUUCUUAAAUCCUGUGGAGCUCAAAUAGACAACAAAGCUUGUGGAACUAAUUAAGUGUUAGCAUAAAUAUCUAGCCUUCAUCAUCGUGAGACUCCUUAAUAAUUAUUACUCCCUGUUUUUAUAUUUUUGUUUUAUAAAGCAGAAAAAUAUUUAUUUUAUUUUUAUGCCACCACAGUGAAUGUACUUAUGGGUUUUACUCCACUCGUCUACUCACAUGGGGCUUACUGUUUUUCACAAUUUUAUUUUCUUUUGAGAAUAGCACGAACAUAGUAAACUAGUUGAAAUAAUUUGAAAAGGAAAGGAUAACUACCAAGUUUACCUCUUGGUAAGGCGUUCGGUGUUUUUAAGUCCUCCGAACGGGACUCUCCAUUUUCUCAAUCGUCCUGAGGUUCGUUGAGUGGCGUAGUCGGUACUUCCGGCAGCGCCUCCUCUUCUUGUAUAGUUAUCUUCAUUUUCCAUACCUGACUCGGUGCUUCAAUCUCCUCUGGAUAAUUCUGUUUAAACUCUACGUCUUCUGACCUUACAACUUCUCCUUCAUAGUCUGCCCAUCCGUCCUUGAUGAUCUGCCUCCUCUGGUUGUGGUUGCGUCUCUUCCUGACCUGCUUAGAUUCUUCAACGAUAUAGUUAGGGUCAGUAAAAUAACGGCGUACCUUCUCUGAGGGGAAGUGCAUAUGGACUUCUCCGGUUCCAAUGUAGAUAAUUGUUUUAACGGUGCUGAGGAACGGUCUUCCAAGGAUGAUGGGUGGAUCAUACUCGUCUUCUCCCAUGUCAAUAACUUGAAAGUCUGUGUAGACAAAGUGAUCGUCUAUUUUGACUGGGACAUCAGAUACUAUUCCUUUAACUUCUCGAAAUGUUUGAUCUGCCAUCUGAAGCUGAAUGUAUGUUGGUCUUAGUGGCAUGGUCCCGAACAAGAGCCGAUAGGUGACUGCAGCCAUUAUAGGCAUUCUUGGGUCGUCCUUCUUGGUCAAAAACGGUGACUUAAGUUGGUGAUCUUGGCCUCCAUGAACUACAGUGACCAUCUUAGCUGACUUGGUCCACACUUGCUCGUUCCUGUUCCUCCUGUUGGUCCUCUUCCUUGAUUUACGUCUGGAUUGAUCUGGAAUUUGUGUAGUCUUGUUCUUGAAGAAAAAUGUCUCCUUCUUCCCUUUGACGUAGAAACUGAUCUUGGCAGCACUGGCGUAGAUGAUAGCUCCCGUGGUGUUCAAGAAUGGCCUCCCUAGGAUGAUAGGUGCUCUCUCAUCAUUUCCGGUCUCUACCACUACGAAGUCUGCUGGGGCAUACAAGGUACCAACUCGGACACAAAGGUUCCUCACGAUUCCUUUUGGGAAAGUUAUCGUCUGAUCUGCAAACUGCAAACACAUGGUUGUCUCUAAUAAAGGAUAUGUAAAGAAUUUUUCAUAGAGUACCCUGGGUAUAAUGUUGACACUGGAGCCAAAGUCACAGAGUGCUUCUGGGACAUCCACCAUGCCGAUGGAGAUCGGAAUGACGGGGCGUCCUGGAUCGCCUCUCUUGACCGGCAGAAGGUCAGUAGAGAAUUCAUUGACGGGGUUACUCCAAUUACCUGCAUCAAACAUGUCUACAAGAUUUGCAGAUUCUAAUCCUUCCGGUUGUGAUGGUAUACCGGGAUUAGUAGCAGGAACAGCAGCAGCUAUUUGAUUUACUGAGAUUCAAUCAUUUUAUUAAAGCUAAUUUGAUUCUUGAUGGCAGUAGAGAAAUUAUCCAUUCUAUUAUUUAUAUUUUCUAGCAUUUUAUCAUUAGAUGCCACUUUCUUAGAUAGGUUAUCCAUUAGCUUUCCUUGAUUAGACACUAACUCUCUCAGAGGUGGAAAAUUAUUAUUGUUGUAAGAAUUGUUACCUUGAUAAUUACCUGAGUAGUUAGGCCUCUGUUGAUUCCAACCUUGAUUUUGUUGAGGACGGUUGUAGUAGUAGUUGUUGUUGUUGUUGAUGUAGUUCACAUCCUCAAGCAUCUCAGGGCAGUGGUUGCCUGAGUGUCCAGUGUCUCCACACUCCUCACAAGUCAUGUGAGAGUCGUAGAUGUGCAUAACUUCUUUCUUGUCUCCAGCUCUAUCAUCGAGCUUCUUCAUGAGUAGGUCUAGCUUUGCAGACAACAUGUCUACCUCCUUCAGCUGAUGCAUACCUCCACCUCUCUUGCGUGUCUGGGUCCUCUCUUCAUUCCAACUUUGAUUGGACGCCAUCUUCUCCACAAGAGCUGUGGCUUAUGGUAUAGUAAGUGAUAAGAAUGCUCCUCCAGCUGCAGCAUCCAUGGUUUCUCGAGCACUGUUGCUGAGCCCAUGAUAAAAUGUCUGCAUCAAUAGCCAACUCUCCAUUCCAUGAUGGGGACAUUCUAGGAUGUAGUCUUAAAAGCGCUCCCAUGCUUCUGGAACAGAUUCAUCAUUUUGUUGCUGAAAACUUCUAAUCUUCCCACGGAGAGCAUUGGUCUUGCCCAUGGGAAAGAACUUUGCCAGGAAGUUUGUUGAGCAGAGUGCCCACGUAGUAUUCUUCUCCUUUGUAGCGUAGAACCACUGCUUCGCUCUUCCUAACAGUGAGAAUGGGAAGAGGCGAAGUAGUAUAGCGUCUUUGGAAACUCCUGCUAUAGUGAAUGUGUUGCAAAUCUCUAGGAAGUGUUGUAAAUGAGCACUAGCAUCUUCGUGUGCCUUCCCACAGAACUGGUUGGAUUGCACCAUGUUGAUAAGUCCAGGCUUGAGCUCAAAGUUGCCAUCGAUCUCUGCAGCAGGUCCAGUGCGGAUGUUGUCCGUAGUGGGAGCUGAGAACUCGCGGAUUGAUUUGUUCGCCAUGGCUUCGAACUCUGAAGACAAGUUCCGGUGAUCUUCUUGAUUAGAUGAAGCUUCUUGCUGAAGUGUUGAUGAUUUCUUGAGCUUGGCUCUCGUCUUCUUGAAUAAUGCUUCGGGAUUGUCAACAAAAUUUCCUGGAAGAUGUCUUCUAUUCAUACAUUCCCCUGCAUAAGAUAAAAUAGAAAAAUAUCGGGGUAAAACUGUAUGAGAGAAUAGAUAAGCUCAAUCAUAUUAGUGAUGCGAAUGAUAACUCAAAAUCUUUUAUUCCAUUCCUGAUUGGUAAUCAACCUUCCCCGGCAAUGGCGCCAAAAAAUGCUUGUUGGGUAUUCUUAACAUCAUUACCAAAAGUAGACUAAGUUCUCUAAAUCUAGUAACGGUGCCAAAAAUGCCAAACCUAUCCCUUACACCACUUAAGCCAAGUUGUCAUCCCCAGCAUGAUAUAAGAGACGCGGUAUUGAAAUAUGCAAUUGCUCUUCUAAAUAAAUAAUGAAUGGGAUCUGCAAGCGCACAGAUUAAUACCGAUGCAGCAUUUUAACCGGGAAGUAUUCCACGUAUCGUUAUUUAUAUUUUUACCACUGGGAACGGAUUAGCAAUCAUCACUAUUGAUUACAGAAUAGAAUAUGAGAUUGAGCAUCUAUCAUUGCAUGUAUAAUUGAGAACAUUAUAUCUAACUCUUCACACAGGGAUAAGUGUCACAUAAAAGAUAUAUGAAAUAAUAAUAGUGACAAGGAUAACUAAUCUGAUCUAGCCACAUAAUAAAUAUGAUAAGCACCUCAAUUACAUACUCUAGAAAGUCAUUAGCAUGGUAUUAGAAUGAACUACAAGAAUAUUCCCUAAGUUAUUCUCAACUAUAUAGUCUAGCAUAUCAUAGUUAGUGCAAGCAUACUUAGCAAUCAUUGUGAGACAAGACUACGCCCAUGCAUAGUGAUAUUAGCAAGGAAUAUGAGAAACAUAGCAAUCACUCCCCUGUAAUAAUGUUGCUCUGCCAGCCCAAUACACGAGAGGGGGACUAUAUAAGAAUCAAUGAAGCUGUCACUAUCACGAACCACCCCACGAUCUGGCAUAUUGGGUACAAUCGCAGAUAAAUACGGUAUAAGCACCACGCCUACACAAUAUCUAUCAUUUACCCAUGGAUCCGAUGGAUAAACGCUAUACGAUCCUAAGCAUGUAUAUAGAUCCAAUCUAACUAAGCCAAGUACAUAACUAUGAUAAACUAAGAACAAUAUAAUCUUGAAUAUAAGCAAGUAGAGCAAAGUCAUAAGCAAUAUAUUGAAGUAGAACAAAGUCAUAUUCAUAAUAUUGAAGAACAAAGAUAAUUAGAAAGCAAUUAGAAGCACAAUUAGAGAAUUACCAAGAAUCCUCCUGACAGAUCCGGAAACCAAUCGAAGAUUGACUCCUUCUAGUUCUAAUCCUAUGUAGCUAUGCUAAUCUAGAUAUCUAAUUGAUGUGGUGGCUCUAAUCUUGAUCAGAGGCUUCUUCUCCCUUGAUGGAACAAUGAAUUAGGGUUGAGAGGCUCCCUCCUCCAGGGGCCAGGGGGUCUGGUUUUAUAGUCCCUUCAAGUGAAUAUGAGCCCUUGGAUCAAACCGACAUAGAUUGUAUGGUUUAGAUUCAUCCUUUAGGUCGGUGGAGACUUCCCGCAAAGCAGAGUCCUGUUUGGACUUGGGGGCAGGGCGGGCGCCCUGUCUCUUGCCCCGUUUCGCCUCCGCUUCGGUCUCGUGGCUUCUGGAGUCUUUUAGAUGUAAGAUAAUUGCGCGGCACGUUAAUAUCUUUACGUAAUCCUGACAUGUGGGCCUUUCUUACAUAUUUCCUGAUAACUCCCUGCAGAAAUAGACAAACACCAAAACUCAUGGAAUUCUGUCAGAUAAAACCCUAAGUCUAGAUCUUGAUUUCAUUUGGAUCCUUUUCUUUAUUUAUUUGAUAAUUAAAUUUGAUACUUAAGGACCGUCAACAAUCCGCAGCGCGCACUCCGUCGCGUGGAUAAAGGCCCGGGUGGCCGGGGUAUUUCCUUUCCUUUUUCUGAACCUCACCGCCGACGGCCACCAGUCGACACCAAAAUCCACCGUUGCCUUAGCUUCUUCAUCCCCGAGCUCUUGCUCCCAACUCCGGCAAGAACCCCGCAACCGUUUGCGCCCCUGAGCGCAAGCUCUACCCUACCGUAGCUCCAACCCGAGCCGUUCUUCUCCAACCCCGGCCGAAACGCCGCCGCGGACACUCCACCGUGGCCAGCUUCACUCCAAGCCUCUCCACUGCCGCUUCUUGCUCCGUUGGAAUCGCGGUGAGCCACCGAUGCUUUUGCGCUGUUCAAUUCGCGCUCUACUCGAUCGUAGAGGCCGGCGUCUGCUCGGCCGAGGUAGCCGCCCGCCGUGCCCGUGGCCAUGGGAGCUAGACUAGGAGAGAGCAAGGGUUUAGGGGGUCCAGAGGUGCACCUUGAAGUGGAGAACGCGACCAGCGAGUCGCGAGGGGCGAUGAUGGCGCGGAUGGCUCGGUCGCGCCGUCGAUUCGGCCGGCCGGAGCUUGAAGACGAAGCUGACAGCGGGGGCCCGCUGUCAGCGACGCCUGAGUGGAGGCGAGGGCGCGCGCAGCGCCCGCGUGGGCCGAGCGCGGACAGGCCGGCCUGCGGGCCGAGUUCCUGGACCGCUCGCGGCAGUGUUGUUUUUCUUUUUCUGUUUAUGCAAAAUUUGAUGUAUGUUUGAAUUUGAAUAGAAAAUCAUAUGUUGAUUCAAAAAUAAUGAAACUUUUUGUGUAAGUUCUAUAAAAUAAAUAGAACAUAGGAAAAAUAUUAGGUUCUAUUUUCUGGUAGUUUGCAUGUGUAUAAAAAUUGCCUCUCUAAUUUAGUGAAUAAAACUUCUAGGAAUUUUAAUAAUUUAUUGAUAUGUCCAAAAAUCACCAAAAUUUGUGAGAUGCCUCUGAAUAUUAUUCCCUGGCUUCACACAAAAUUUGGUGGCAUUUGGAUAAUGUUUGAAUAAAUUAAUAUUAAACCCUUAAUUAGUAAUUAAAUAAUAAUUCUAGAAUAAUCAGAUAAUAAUUAGUUAAAUUCUCAAAAUUAGGGUUUGAGUGAUUUUGGGAUUAUGUGAUGACCUGAGGUCAUUAACCUAAUGACCUUUGGCAUUUAAUUAUUGUUUGGCUUUAAUACUCAAUUGCUGUUAUUAAUAUUUAAUUAAGAAUUAUUUAAGAUAAAAGGGUUAAUAAUUAGUUAAUUAAGAAUAAUUAUGAAUUAAGAAAAGUCCUAAUUUACAGAUGCAACCUCUUGGGUAGAGACACUAAGAUGUUAGACAACUUUAAUUAUUGUUUAUUCUGUGUUGCACCGAGGAGGCCAGUUAUACCUAACUUGGUCCCUUUUUGCAUAUUCGUCAUACGCAUAUCAUGAGCAUUCAUCAUUUUGCGUAUAGUGCCCGUGACCGAAGGAGCGACCGUUGAACCGAACCCCGAGGUCUGUGCUCCGUUCGAGGAAGUAGGAUCUGAGACUUGGGAAGUCUCCGAGGGUCCCUCUCAGCUCUGCAACCAAGGCAAGCCCCGGAUGCAUUAACCCUUCCUUAAAUGUUUUAAAUCUUUUAUCACUUAUGAAUUGAAAAUGCUGCAUUAGGUAGACGAGAAUUGGGUUAACCUACUUGCUGCAUUUACUACCUUGAUAUUUGUUAUCUUGUCCUUUGCACCUGUUUCAAUUGAAAACCGCGUAGUAAUGCUUAGCCCUGCUACUAGAUAGGUUUUCAAACAAAGUUUGAAGGGUUGUUGUGGAAUACACGUAUGAUCAAUGAUGUUUCAAUUUGAGACCGGUCGGUGGACUUGCUUUAAGAAUGGAGUCUUAAAGUAGUGUCUCCAACUGUGUCGAUUAAGGACCGUUCCGUUGAUGGCCUGCUGGGUUGAGAAUUUAUAGUACUAGCCACUUGCCCUCGGUAAGCCCAAUCUUGUAAUCCCUCGACGCAAACAGCUACUCGCGCACUGGGCGUGGAGCGAUGGCGAGAGUAGCGUGUACCCACCUUACGGAUCUGAGAUGACCGGGAAACGUCUAGAUCGGCGGUAGGAUGGUGGGGUACUGUGCUCUCGGGUGCCGCGAACCUGGUCAAAUUUGGGGAGAGCUAGAGUUGGGUUGACAUAUGCAAGAUUUGGUUCUACAUAUGUCGGGUGGUUAGGAACUCCAGCUGGAUUGCUAAGCGAUUCAAAUCGUCGUUGCUCCCCGAUUGGGAGACUCAAUUCCUUCGACCCUCAUCAUAGUUAAUUAUGCAACUAAAGGAUAAAAUAAGAAAGGGGAAAAUGUCUCAUGAGGUUCGGAUCCCAAUUCCCGGACUCAGAGUGACAUGAAGCUAUGGCCGUUGGAUAAAUAAUACUUCGAUUAAGGAUUAGGAACUUAUAGACUUGUCUGUGAGAAGCAACUAGAUAGACUGUCCUCGAACUCCUCGGCCUCUUCAGGAGCGGAAUUCGCGGGUAAAACUUGAAAGUAAGGAUGCACUAUUAGUAAGCUUUUCCGCAAAACACUUCGGCUCCUUGCUCAACCACCCCUUGUCUACCCUAAGCCUGCAUCCCUAAUUUCUCCUCUUUUUCUACCGGGUAAGUCUUGUUGAGUACUCCCGUACUCAGGGUUUUAUAACCCCUAUUGCAGGUGAAGCUCAGGAGCCGACUUGUUUCGGACCCUGUUGUGUGUCCGUCGUCGAGGUUGACGACGAGGAAGAGUGAGCGUGACCCAUGGGCAGGGUCUGUAAAUUUGUAAUCUCUGUAUUAAAGUUUAAGUUGCUCCGCUGGACCUGGCUUGUAAUAACACUCUACUAUUUGGAAGAACUACUCUUGUAAGUUAAGUUAUGUAAUACUUCCGCUGUUUACUCUGAAAGCUUAUUUUGGUCUUGUGUCAUCUGUGAUACUGCAAUGUCUUCGCAACGAAUGAUCCUGCUGUUAAGGUGGCCACUUGCUAUCCUGUAAGGGAGAGAAGAAGUUCUCGUUAAUUGACCAUCGCUAGUGGUCAGGACGAGUUCGCUUGAUACUCCACAGGUAGCAGUGGGAUGAGCGUCCUGAGAUGCUCAUCGGACUCCUGGAGUGGGAGGAUCCCCGACAUCACCGUCAGAGGUCCUUGGGACAAUGACAGGUGUCGGUGGGCCCAAACACUUAGGAGGUUCUACCACAACCAGUGUCAGCUUUUGGAGCCUCAUGAACCCCUGGUUAUAAUUGUUGAGUACGAUAUGUGCUCACUCUUGCAAUUUCCCAACACCCCAGGUUAUGCUAAUGAAGAUGACUGGAAUGAGGAUUACCGUUAUGAGUACUAGGUUUGGAGUCAACCAGUCAAUAGUGUCCCUGUGUGGAGCUUCCGUCGAGAGCGUUGUUUACUUUAUGCUAUCAUUUUUGUAUGAGACUAUGUGAUAUCUUAUAUUCUGCUAUGUAAUAAACAAUGCAAUGGUACAUUUGAGAUUUGUCUACUUAUGUGUGCGACUGUUUCUGGGGCACAUAUGAGUGUUUUAUGCAUCCUAUUUUGUUCUCAAAAUAUGGGUGUGACAAAUUGGUAUCAGAGCUUUGUUUACUGUCGGACACAAGCCUAGUUAGAAAUUGGUCGUAUUAAGGUUUUGAAAUUGCUGUAAAAUCCUUGUUCUAUAAACCUUGAUAUUUUCCUCUAUACUAUAUCCUUUUCUUUGCUAUUCAUCCUCACUUUGAUGCUUAUUUUAAAGACUUGUUCUCACCCCACUCCUUGCUUUGAAUAUGCUUUUAGAACUUUUCUUACCACCUUCUAACGUCAUUGAAAUAGGAACUAUAGGAUCUUUGCCCUUAAUAGGAAGAGAACGUUAGUACCGCAAGUUGAGUCAAUUCUUGAAGUGUGAACUUUUGAUGCUUGGUUUGGUUUGUUAUUAUGCUUAUGCUUGAUUUUGAUUUUUGUAAUGAGUGCUGGAACCUUGUGGGCAUAUCCACAAGUUCCCUAGUUAAGAACCUUAAGUAAGAACAUGAAUAAAUAGUGGUUUGGGGGCAUAUCCUGCUUCUGUCCUUGCUGAUCUCUGGAGCAGUCUGCAAUAAAUCUGGUACAUCUCAAAAUCUGUUCGUGCAAUGUUCAUCACAUUUUUCUGGAGACAAGUAGACUUUCAUAUCUUUCUAAUGCCGCAAGAAUGACACUAAAAUCUGUUAUGGUCUGUGAGAUACAACUGUUCAAAGUUGAAGUUUCUGCGCAGUCUGGAAUUCUGGAACAGUUUUGGUUAUGACCAGUUUUGACUAAUUUAACAACAGAAUCUGUUAAAAUGAUCUAAAUGAAAGUUGUAGAUAAUUGCUUUAUCUUUCCAACGGUGUAUAGAAUGUAUCCUUUUGGAUUAUGGAACUUGAGAUAUGACUGGUUUUCUGAUCUGCUGAUGUUGGAUAUUCCCCAGAAAAUUUCAGAUUCCGUUAACUCUUGUAAUUGUCAUGUUGGACAUUACUAAGAUGUGUUUGUAUACCUUGGAAUGCAUAUGGCAGCAAGGGGAAGAGGCAGAGGCAGAGGCCGUGGCAAUGACAAUGGUGGCAAUGCCCCAAUCGCAGUGAGGAACUCAUGCAAACCCAAAAUGAGAUGAUGCACGUUUUCAUGCAGCACCUACAGCAGCAACCUCCACCAACACCACCACCUGUUCAUGUGAGGGAUAAGCGUAGGGAGUUUAUGAAGGGAAGACCUCCGAUAUUUACACACUCAGCUGAUCCCAUGGAGGCAGAUGAUUGGUUACGUGCUAUGGAGAGGCAACUGAACAUAGCACAGUGCAAUGACUUGGAGAAGGUGUUGUAUGCUUCUAGACAGCUUCAGGGGGCAGCUCAGACAUGGUGGGAGUCAUAUCAAGUUGCUCGUCCCAACAAUGCUCCUCCUAUCACAUGGCUGGAAUUCUGUAGAGACUUCAGAGCUCGACAUAUAAAUGAAGGAAUGAUGGAGCUCAAGCAAGAAGAAUUCAGAUCUCUUAGGAUGGGUUCUAUGUCUGUGGCUGAGUAUCAUGACAUGUUUGAGCAGUUGGCUCGCUAUGCCCCAAACGAAGUUAGAGAAGAUGCUGACAAACAACGUCUCUUCAUGAAAGGUCUCUACUAUGAACUUAGGUUGCAACUAGCUGGAAACACAUAUCCUACCUUCCAGGCUCUGGUAAACCGUGCUAUUGUGUUGGAUAACAUGCGUAAAGGUCAAGAUAAUAAGAGGAGGAUGCUGGCACAAGGUUCUGGAGGCAACAACCGCCAACGUUUCAAUUCUCAGCAGGGCGAUCAACAGAGGUACCAGGGACCGGUUGGUCAAUGGGAUCGCAACCAACAAUCCCAGCGUAAUCCUAAUCAACAACAGAGUGGACAGCAGACUUCCCGCUCAGGAAAUUCAAAUGCCACCUCUAUGAAGAGAAGUGCUCCCAAUACCCCUACUAGGUGUUUUCGCUGUGGAAAAGAAGGUCAUAUGUCAUAUGAUUGCCCGAAGAGAUCCAACCAGCAGAACAACAAUAAAAAGUCUAAUUCUCAUGGAGCAAAGGUGAACCAUGUGGCUGCAGAGACAGUACAAGAGGGACCGGAGAUUAUGAUGGGUACGUUCAGUAUCAACUCUAUACCUGCUACAGUUUUAUUUGAUUCUGGAGCUUCGCAUACAUUCAUAUCACAAGCAUUUGUUAGAGUUCAUAGCAUACCACUAGUUGCCAUGAAAACCCAUAUGCUAGUAAACUCACCGGGAGGGACUAUACCAGUUUCAUAUUGUUGCCCCUCAGCAAGUCUUUCUUUAAGGGGGUAGAUUUCCCGGUUAGACCCAUGGUUAUGAGAACCUCAGGCAUAGAUGUGAUAUUGGUUUUGGAUUGGAUGAAGAAAUAUGCUACGAAAAUUAAGUGCAAAGAGAAAGUAGUAGUUGUGACAACACCUAAGGGAGAGAGAAUCAGUGUGGAUGUAGCAGUGCAGGCUCCACCCACAGCUACAGUGAAUCAGCUGGAUGAUGGUGUUGAUCUUCAGGACUGUGUAGAGAAUAAAUUUUUAGAUAAGUUACCAGGUAUGUUACUUGACUAGAGACAUGAAUUUGCUAGUGCAAUGGAAUCGGUUGUUAGAGGCAGAAGCAACUUGGGAAAGAGAUGAUGAUCUGAGGAAAUCAUACUCAUACUUGUUUGAGUAAACACCUUUCAAUCUCGAGGACGAGAUUCUUUUAAGGGGGGUAGAGUUUGUAACACCCAAAAUUUGAUUUUCAAAUAAUAGGAUUUAAUUUGAUUUAUUUAAGUAUUUUUGUGAGCAUUUAAUCUAGAAAAUAAGUAAUUUUUGGUGGAAAAUAAAAUUUAUCAUAAGUUUAGAAACUUGAAUUUUGCAUUUCAUGCUGGAGCAUAUUUAAUUCUGUGUUGUUGCCCUUCUUGUUUGAAUUCAUUUGAUUCAAAUUUCAUUUGAAAAAUGCUUUAGAAAAAGGAACAAAAGAAAAAAAAGAAAAGGGGAAGGACCCCAGCCGAACCCCAGCUUCCCCCCUCCUGCGCGCGGCCCAUUUCUCUCCCCCGGCCCAGUUUCCUUUCCCCCCCGCGCGGCCCAGGCGCGCGCCUCCCCCCUUCUCCCAUCCGCUGACUGUCGAACCCCACCUCUUCUUUCACCGCCAGCCGGGACCCGCAUGUCAGCGCACUGUUUAUCCCCUUCCUUUCUUCUUCACUUAACCGAGCCGGCUUCUCUCCCUCACCGAUUUGGAAACAAACCUCCAAUCUCGGGAUUCCUUGCCAAAUCACGCGCAACUGAGCCCUAUAAAGCUCUCUAUCCACCACGUAUCCCUAUUUUCGCAUCCAAAUCGCCCUAAUACACCCUACCUUCGCUGUUUGGAUCUUGCCGUGAGCCACGCGAAGCUGCCGCCGUGACGCGACCUCCCCACCCUCUUUCGGCUCGAGUAAACAAUCUAGGUGGGUUCUCCUCCUCCCCCUCGACCCCCCGGUGCUUUUCCUUCAAGAAACGGUGUUCGGAAUCGGCCAAGCAGCGAGCUCCCGCGAGCUCGGUCUCCCCGGCCAUGGCGCCACCGCGCCGGAGGCCAGAGAGCCAGCCGGCCCGCCGCCUGGUGACCCCUGGAGAAAUCUCGGCCGUCGGAUGGAGAUCACAUGGCCCGCAAAUGAAGAUAGCCCUUCGUUGGAAAUCUUUCUAAAGAGUCCCUGUGUUCUUUUGCAAUUUAACCCGCGGUCCUUUACGUACUUUCCCGUUUACGCUUUCCAGUUUUAAAAGCGUAAUCCUGUCCGGUUCAAUUCAAUUUACGCUUUCGAUUAUUUACAGUUUUGCCAUCAAUUUUAUAAUGCUCAUAAAAUACUCAUUUUAACUACGUUUUUGUCCAUUCAAAUUUCGUUAGAUUCGUAUUUACGAGCUCUACAUGUUAGAAGUAUUUAUUCUCUGUAUUGAAACUUUUUAAUUCUGCAGUAGCAUUUAAUUAAUUAUUUCUCUAUAGGAAAUCUUAGAAAAUUCAUAACUUCUACGUUUUAAUUCCGAUUUUCGUGAACUUUAUGUUUGUGUGAUCGUAGCGCUGCGUAGAAUAUUUUCAUAAACUUUAUCUUUGAUUUCUCACUGUGGGUGUAAUGUUCUAAUUAUAGCUUGUUUGCUUUCUGUAUGAUUGACUACAUUGGAUUGCGUGUUGUUGACUGAUGUUUGGGAAUAGACGGUGAGCCGUACGUUGGUGAUCAAGACCAAGCUUUCGAAGACCAGCAGGCUCAAGAGAGCUUUGAUCAAGGCAAGUAUAACUUGGAAUCAUCCUUGUUGCCUAUUCACUUAUAACUACACAUAUAUGUCAUAUGCAUGCUAUCACCUUGUCGACCUUAGCAAAAUCAUAGAUGAUUGUUACCUGGAUUCCUUGCUACCUACUUGAUAUGCAUUUGUUGUAGAUGUGCUAGUGCUUGAUAUAAUCCAUGAUCUUGUAAGAUGAUUAAUAGCUAUGCAAUGAACAUAAAAGAAUGACAAAUAACUGUAUGAGAUCUUGUCUGUAAGUGACCACCGGGACAACAGUGCAACCAUGAGGGCUAUAGUGGCUCUGGCUUUAGCUCAGUAUGAAGACCUUUUCUAGCUUGUUAGAGGUUACCCGAAAGGGCGGAGGGGCUGAACCAUUUUGGGUAUAGUGCGAGCCCCUGUCCCUAUGUGUAUAGGCUGCGCGUCAUUGUCCCAUUCGGAAGGGGGGUAUCUAUAUCUGCGUGCAAAUGAAACCUUGCGGCCCUAACAGGUUAGACAAACUUUUGAAAGGCUUCAUAGUGAUCCCUGCCGACCUCCCUAGGAAGGGGGUUAAGAUAUUAGCUACCUUGGGCGAAAGGGUAAAUCAUGACUCAUGGGUAAAGAUGUACAACCUCUGCAGAGUGUUAAAACUGGUAUACUAGCCGUGCUCACGGUUAUGAGCGGCCUUGGGGGUUCUUGCUGCGCGGACGAUGAGCUUAUUAAGUUGUUAUGUCCAUUUGAUUAUCGUUUAUGCUAUGGAUUAAUUAUGCUUACACUUGAUCAUGUGAUUAAUGGAUUAUUUAUGCUACCUUGACAUUUGCUAUUUAAUUAUGAAUAUUCUAUCCACUAUUAAAAGCAAAAUGCAGUCAAACCAGUGUCAGCUUUUUGAGCCUCAUGAACCCCUGAUUAUACUUGUUGAGUACGAUAUGUGCUCACUCUUGCAAUUUCCCAACACCCCAGGUUGUGCUAAUGAAGAUGACUGGAAUGAGGAUUACCGUUAUGGGUACUAGGUUUGGAGUCAACCAGUCAACAGUGUCCCUGUGUGGAGCUUCCGUCGAGAGCGUUAUUUACUUUAUGCUAUCAUUUUUGUAUGAGACUGUGUGAUAUCUUAUAUUCCGCUAUGUAAUAAACACUGCAAUGGUACAUUUGAGAUUUGUCUACUUAUGUGUGCGACUCUUUCUAGGGCACAUAUGACAAGCUCCUAAGGGUCUACACAGCUUGACCACACUCAAUGCUCAUAAGCAGCAAAAAGUAAAUGUGUGGCUUAAAGUCUAGCAAGCAUGUAUAUAUGGCUGUGGUAGGAAUUUAAACUCUCAUCAUAGAGGAACUCAUCAUGUGUUAUUUUAAAUAUUUUCAAAGAUAAAAUUCUCCAGAUUUCUAGCAUAUCUAGGAAUAGAUAAACAGCAGCUCAACCUUCCCAUAUCAUAUCCGUUAACAACUUAGACUUUAGAUCAAGUGCUCUUCCCACAAGUUCAAGUUUAGAGCAGGUUUAAAUUAUAACAGUUAUGCCUAAACUUGAGAGAGAGCACAAACUUGAAAACUAGGUACAUGGCAAAGCAACUAUUUAUCAUUUCCAUAUGAGAGCUUAUCAUGAGGGUUGAUAGCAAACUUUAUUUAUUUAUUUAUUUAGCAAACUAAGCAAAGAUAUAUAUAUAAGCACAAAAUCUUUAUUUGGGUUUUUUAUGAUUAUGAAAUUUUUUAUUAUUUGAGUAAAGUAUAAACGCGAGUAGAAACACUUAGCUGGAUAAAUGGGGGUGCUCUCCCCCAAGCUGGAUUUUGACGUAAUUUCUUCUGAUAUAGCUAGCAGGUGGUGGAGGUGUAUUUGAAUGUCGGCAGCACCCUGACAGCGAUUACUAUGUCCUCCGUCUACUAGUCUUCUUUGAUCCUUGAAUUCUGUGGAGCUCAAAUAGACAACAAAGCUUUGUGGAACUGGUUAAGUGUUAGCAUAAAUAUCUAGCCUUUAUCAUGUUGAGCCUCCUUAAUAAAUGUUAUUUAUUUAGCACGAUCAUGCACUUAUUAUUUUUAUAUUUUUAUUGUAAGAUGAAAACAUAUUUAUUUUAUGCCACCACAGUCAAUAUACCUAUGGGUUUUUAAACCACAAGUCUACUCACAUGGGGCAUACUAUUUUUAACAUUUUUAUUUUCUUUUCAAGAUAGCAUGAACCUGAUUAACUAAGCAAACUAUUGAAAGGAAAAGGAUAACUACCAAGUUUACCUCUUGGCAAGGCGUUCAGUGUUUUAAGUCCUCCGAAUGGGACUCUCCGUUUUCUCAGUCGUCCUGGGAUUCGCUGGAUAGCGUAGUCGGUGGUUCCGGUGGCGCCUCCUCUUCGUGUAUAACUAUCUUCUCUCUCCACACCUGACUCGGUGCUACGGUCUCCUUAGGACAAUCCUGUUCAAGAUGUAUAUCUUCAGACCUUACCACUUCUCCUUCGUAGUCUGCCCAUCCGUCCUUGAUGAUUUGCCUCCUCUGGUUGCGGUUGCGUCGUCUUCUUCUUGUCCUCACUUGCUUAGAGUCUUCAACUAUAUAGUUAGGGUCAGUAAAAUAGUGGCGUACCUUCUCGGAGGGGAAGUGCAUGUGGACUUCUCCAGUUCCAAUGUAGAUGAUAACUUUGAUAGUGUUGAGGAACGGUCUUCCAAGGAUGAUGGGUGGAUCCUACUCGUCUUCUCCCAUGUCAAUGACCUGAAAAUCAUCUGGAGCUGAAUGUAUAUUGGUUGUAGGGGCAUGGUUCCAUGCAGGAGCUGAUAAGUGACUGCGGCCAUUAUGUUGACGUCAGAUCCGGUGUCGUAGAGUGUCUUCUGAAAAGAGUAUCCGUUGAUUGUGCACUCGAUGCUUGGAACACCAGGGUCACCCUUCUUGAUCAGGAAAGGUUACUUGAGUUGACGAUCUUGACCUCCUCUGACAAGGAUCUAAUGUUUUAAGUCUUCUGGACAAGACUUUUCACCGUCUUCAUCCUUUAGGUGCAUCAUUUGAUUAGUUGUGGACCUUGACGUCUGCACCUCUUGAUACGGAGUCACCCAUGUUCUUCGUUUGCCUAGCAGUUCGAAGUGUCGUGUUGGCAAUAUCCUGCUCAUUGUGUUUGUGCUCGUAGAUCCAGGUCCUUCACUUGGUGGAGUCUAGGAGUUGUAAAACUUCUCCAUGUUUUGCUUGAAGUGUACCUGUUCAUAGAGACAAGGCAGAGAUCAAGUGCAUGGGCCCUGUUGGUGGAAAACACCAACAGAACCAAAAGUGUAUUUGUUCUUCUCUAACCUUAAGCGUAGUGAGCAAGACAAAGUUGAUGGAUCAUGAGUGUAGCAUUUGAAACAUUUGUCAGAUCAGAUGGCUCAACCUAAUUGAAAGAUAAUCUAUCUAUAUUUAUGUUUUGUUUAUAUCUUCCAAAGAUUGAAUGUGCAACAUUUUAGCUUAUAUGAUUAGGAGUGUGGGAUCACGAAGGUAGUACUUAAGAACAAAGAUUAAAGGACUAACAUGUUGAAUUAACUGGGUUGGUUAAUUUAUGUUUGUCUCUUUAUUCAUCUGUAUGCCAGAACCAAGGAGAAGCUUAUAAAAGUGAUAGUCAAGUACCUUAAGGUGUUACCUUACUUGAAGAGUGAUGGUAUAGUAUCACCUUGUGGAAGCUUUCCUUUCUUAGCGGUUGUGCAUCGUGUUUGUGGCAUUCUUUGUCUCGUUCCAUGGAUCAUCUCUCUAUGACGAAUGAGCUAUGUCUUCCUUGUGCAAAUUGUUAAACUUCAUGUGUCUCCUUUAUCUCCAAUAUGUUUGUAUAUCAGGACUUCCCAGGUUGAUAUUGAAAGUUUUCCUGCAGGGGUUAGUCCGACAACAUAUACCAGUGCCUACUCAAGCAGUUUUUAGUUCAGUUACCAAACUAGACUCCAUGUCUAAUCAGAUUAAGGAAGGCUAUUUAACCUAAGCACCACGCUUAAUUUAAAAGCCAAUAGAAGUAUGUACAGUACUUCCAAACUAACACUUACUAAGAUAAACAUAGGUAGCAUGAUGGCUUUUAUAGAGAUCUACUCAAGUGGAGAUGAAGUAGUGUGGUUAGUAUUUAACAAAUUGAGCAUGUCUCAAAGGUAAGGACAACCAACAUAGCAACAUGGCAAAAGAUGUUUUUAUGUAAAGUACUCCCCCAAGCUUGAAUUUUGCAAAAUUCAAGAUUGGAUGAAUUUAAUUCAAUGUUGUGUGAUGGUUGGUUGGACAUACCUUGUGCUUGUCAUUCAUCCGAUCUUCUUGCUCCAAUCCUAGAAAGGUUAGUGACAAGAAUACCUGAAGGAAUAUUUAUACAAUUAUCUUUAUAUGCUCAAUACACAAGGAAAUGUUGCAAAUAAUUAAAAGUUUAUGUUACAAUCUGAUCAGUGCUUGUUUUAGGACACUAAGCUUGUCCUUGGGAAACCAUCAAUUUAUGUCAGCGAAGUGGUUUCCCUUCCAACGCUGACCUAUAUCAAGAUCAACUGAACGAGAUCUACAAUAUUUAUUAUAGGCACAUGCAUCGACAACCUCCCUUUUAAAGUUUUUAUAAAUAGAAAGGAAGAGGGGGUUGGAGAUCUCAAAUGUGGUGAUGUUGGAGAGACCAAUUGAUUGGGGAGAUGUUUUAUAUGAGCAAAGACUUGGUGAGGUAUUUAUGAAAUAACUUCCAUGCUCACUGUUGUUUCUCUCAUUCUCAAACUCCAAGGAUGAUUCUUCAUGAAUGCUUAAAAUUCCUCUAGGAUUGUCUCUCAAGUUUUUUUUAUCUAUCCAUUCAAUGGUGAUAGCAUAUGGAUUUUUAAUGCCCUCUAGCCAUUGAUGUUGCUCUUCUCGAUCCUCCUUGUGGUCUUGGUGACUCUUAUGCAUGGGAUGUCUAGAGAGAUUCAUAGGAUUAUCGGAAGGUUCAAGAGAAAGAGCAUAGUAGAAAUUAUUAGGCUCAAGGAUGGGUUGGAUAGCUGAAUCAUGGGAUUGGAAUGUUUGGAAAUCAGCUAUUGAAACUUUCUUUCCUCGUUUGGGAGAUGAUUCCUUCUCUAUCUCUAAGAUUUUUCUAUGAAGACUAGUACAAGAAGGAUGUCCACGAAUGAAGUCAUACCUUGGUUUACUAACAGAUAAAGAAAAAAAACUCUACCAAAGGUUAUAUGAUUAAGACCAGUGUGAAAAUAUCGAGAAAAACCAUGGUCUUGUAGGGCUAGGUCUAAACCAGAAUUUAUAGAAAGAUUAAAAGAUUCCCUAAGUGUAGCUAAAAGUUCAUUAUCUUCUUGAUUAAAAGAUAGGACCUCUGCUAUAGAAAAGGGUUGGUUUUGACCUAUUGCAAUCAACUCCGGAUAUAGAUCAUAACUAGGGGUAGGACUUGUUGACUCCCAUGGUCAAUGGCGGGUCUCCGAAGUUGCAAGGAAUUCAACAGUAGGUAUGGAAUUUGAGUUAUCCACAAAGAUGGAAAAAAUAAAAAGAUAAAAGAAUAAAAGUAUAAAAGUAUAAUACAAGAUAAUAGCAAGACUUAAAGUUAUCUCAGCAAACCGUCUUUCUCCCCGGCAACGGCGCCAGAAAUGCUUGUUGAUAUUUGGUAACACAAUAAGGAAAUGAUCCGCAAGCGCACGGAUAUCGGUGAGCAUUUCACCCGGGAGGUUAUCUAGAGUAUCGUAUUUAUAUUUUUACCACUGGGAGAAAGCGUGCAUCUGACUAACCAAAUCUAUUGCUACUACCCUUUAGGCUACAAAGAAUGUUUCUCGAUGUGAGCGAUGUAUAGAGGAGACUGCAACCGUAGUCUCGUUCUAACCUUGGUAAGGAUGAUCUACUAAUUGGAGAGGCUCACGGAAUCUAGACACCACAGAGGAUGUUCAACCCGCACCUAUAAACCCUAUCCUUCCUACUAACGAGAUAUGGUUUGCAAAGGUAACUCGGAAAUGUCACGUUCCUUGCUACUACCACGGUCCAGCUAGUCAGGGGAUAUCUAUGAGUACCCUAGCCCAAACACCACGUUUACGCUAGCAAUGAUUACUCUAAACUCAACCAGAAGAGAUUAAAGUAAACUCAUAAACCAAAGAACAAUAAAACAAGAACUUACUAGAAUUAGAAGUCGAAUUACUGAAGAAUCCUAGGAGCAAGCCUCGGGUUAGAAGACUUGAGCCCGCAGGUACAACCUCGGAGUAGACACCGACAGGCCGGGCUUCCUCUGAUCUACACCUCCACUCUAUCUCUCUCAAUCUAGUAGAAACUAGAAGAUCUAAUUCUACUCACAUUGGAUGCUAAGCCUAAAAGAAAUUUUAUUUAGAGGAGAGGUAUUCCUUCAAGGGCUCCUCUCAACUCUAUGAUGAACUUGUCUCCUCCAGGGGCCAGGGGGUCUGGUUUUAUAGUCCCCUCAAGUGAACGUGAGCCGUUGGAUCAAACCGACAUUGAUUAGACGGUUAUCCUUGAUCCUUUAGGUCGGUGGAGCUUGGUCCCCGAGAAGAGUUCUGGUUGGACUCUGGGACAGGGCGGGCGCCCAAGGGGGGAGGGCGGGCGCCCUGCCUCCGGGCCCGUUCGCCUUCCCGUUCGUUCCCGUGGCUUCUAGAGUCUUCUAGAUUACAGAAAAUUGCGCGGCACGUUAAUAUCUCUAUGUAAACCCGAUGUGUGGGCCUUUCUUCCAUAUUUCUUGAUAACCCCCUGCAGAAAUAGACAAACACCAAAACUCGUGGAAUUCUGUCAUAUAAAACCCUAAGUCUGGGUGUUGGUUGCAUUUGGAUCCUUUUCUUUAUUUAUUUGAUGAUUAUAUUUGGUACUUAAGGACCGUCAACAAUGGAUACCGUUGUAGCUUUCACCCAGAGGUUUUAAAUAUCAUAUCCAUAGGGAAACGUGUGAAACUAACUACGAUCUAACUCAACAAAAGGAGUGAUAACUAGGUGGAGAUGGAUGAUAACUAAGAGUAGCAACAAGGUUAGGAUAAAUAGGAGCAUAAAAAGGAUAACUAUGGAUCCUCUACUUCUAACUUAGGUAAACUAUAUUUUCUAUUGUCCAACUUUGGCGGAUGUCUUAUAAUUAAAGAACAUAUGAAAUUUCUUCUCUACAAGCACCAUAAAACCUGUCAAUCGUAUUAAUGGAAUAGUGGACUACAGAGGACUCAACGGGUCUAUCACACCCGUGAUCUACCAUAGAACUCCAAAAAAUAGGGGACCUUUAUGAUUAACCUAAGCCCAAGCACCACACAUACACCUAACCUUAAUACUCUACUCUCUUUAGUUGCACAAAUAAAGCACUCAAAAGAGUCACAAACAAUUGAACAAUAUAGACAAAGUAAACUUAGAUCAAAAGUUGAUUACUAGAGAAUCUCAAAGAAAAGCUCAAGUACAACUUGGAUCCACUGAAGUAGAGGUUGUAGAGGGAGCACCUACAGGCCAGCACAUCCUCUAAACUCUUCCCUCACUCUUUAUCUCUCUAUUUCUAUUCAUAAGACUAGAUCCUAUGAAGAUCUAAUCUUCUCUUGAUGGCUAACUCUAGGAGGUAGAUCCAUUCAUGGGACCCCUCUCUUGAUCCUAAUAGACGAAUAUGAAUUAGGGUUUUGGGACUGCUCUAGGGAGGGGGACACGGGUCUGAUUAUAUAGCCCGGUGGGAUGAACGUGAGGUCUUGGAUCAAACCAACUUUGAAACAUGGUGGAGAUGCAUCGUAGGAGGUGGUGGAGGAAGCUUUUGGAAGCAGGAUGCGAGACGGUGCAGGGAUAGGCUGGCCGACUCUUGGGUGGGACCGACUGGCCCCACUUUGGGCUCUUUCGGGGCUCGCAUUUGCAUGGUGUCUUCUUGAUCCUUCUAGAGUCUUCUCUCAUAAUUUUCAUAAAUUAAAUCGGUUGGUUUAUUUGACGAAUAGAUCCUCCUUGAUUGUUUUUCAGAAAAAUCCUAUAGAAAAUAAUAAUUCACCAAAACAAACCCUAAACUUAUGUAGAUUCAUUCUAUUGUAUCAUUUAUCAUGUUUAUUCAAUUAUAAAUUGUUGACAUUAUCCACCGACAACAUCUAUGUCACACUUCCUUUCUUCAUUACUCUUACGCACAUCUAGAGUCGAGAGAUAAUUUGUAACUUAGUGCUUAGAAUCCAUAUGAAUCGAUCAUCUUUGUAACUUAGUACUCAAAAUCCAUAUCAAUCAAUCAUCUUAGUCAUACGCUUUCCUUGAACAUAUAAAUAUGGUGCCUAUACUCCUAAGUGAAGUGAUGCAUCGAUUUUAUUAUCUUGGGGAAUUAUCAUUUUGAGAAUAAGACAUACCAACAUCUUGACCUUUCAGAGGCAUAGGCUUGUCAUGGCUCGUAGACGUAGUGGCUACUCCACCCCCUUUGAUACGCUGUUGCACCUUUUGUAGAUCCCACGAUGGUGCUAGAACAGUAUUUGUGUGGUGAUUAUAUUAAAAUGUGUUUAUAGAUUAUGAUGCUAACAUUAGCCUAGUCAAAGAAAGGGGUACCUCUUUCUUGAAAAGCUCUUUGUUAUCGUAUAUAAGUUUUAUUCUAAGGUCUUUGUUAUCUAUCAUGUAUGUAAUUUUAUUUUAAGGUCCUCAAAAUGAUUCUAUGUCUAAAAGUUUGGAUGGACAUAUCUAAAAGUAAGACAUAAAUGGCUACAAAACCUAACCUUGUGAUCUGGACCUAUAGAAGAUGUGGUCAUAGUUGGGACUGCCUUGCUUCUUCACCUUGAACUUCAACAAUGUGUGGCGCCCACACUUGUUGCACUCAGUGAGAGGGAACUACAGCCUCAAUCGCUAACCAUUGGAGGCAAAUGGCCUGGACAGGUACGCCAUCUAUGGCAAGGAACACUAACUGGGUCUCCCUUUGAAUCCACGAUGACAAGGGUGACAGCUGCCUUGCUUCAUUGUGAUAAGGUGAUAAGGAUGAGAGAUUGAGGAUAAAUUGGUCAACAUCGUACACAUUGGCAAAAAUAAAAGGCAUAGACUGGUUGUAUGUCACACCCAAUUUCAAGGAAGAAAUUGAAUGCAUAAACUUAUGUGUGCCCAGGGAUCAAUCACACACAUAAAUUACAAAUUAAAUAUUAUCUUCGUAGUGUUUACAUCAAAUGUAGUCAUAACAACAUAAAGUGUGGUACAACAAAGGAAUAUAAAUAAGAUAAAUCUAAGAUAACUCUCUCUUGGCCCCCACACACUGAAGGUCGACUGAUGAAGCACAAGCCUAAUAAUCCUCCACGUAGUCCUCAUAGCUACCAUCAUCUAUUACCCAUCCGGGAUUUUUAUCCACAAAGAAGUAUAAACAAGCGUGAGUACAUCUCGUACUCCAUAAGCAUAGCAUGAGGAUUCAUGAUGCUCAAAAAGGCUAAACUAGGUUUACUACAUCAGCAUUUUAGUAGGUCAGUAUUUUAACAUUAAUUAUUAUUAAGUUACGCUUAAGCUCCGAAUUAACCCAUAUGAUCAGUUGUUAGAACCAUAGUAAAUCUGUUGAUGCAAAAGCUGAUCUGCAAACACAAAGGGCUAAUACCCGGUUUAAAUGUUAAGGCGUGCGAGCCGAUUUGACCUUACUAUCGGCAAAGGUGAUAACUCGAAUACUUUGGUCCCGACAACAGCGAUGCGCUCCGAUGCCACGGCCAAGAGGUAUUCACGCGGAACUCGAGAAUACGCCGAGCUUAAGUCGACGAACUUCUAAGAACUCGUAAUGAAAAGGAAAAUAUGACGAAGUCAUCGAAAAAGUAGAUGCUGGAAUAUGAGUAAAAACUUGUGUUUGAUUGAUUGAUAGAUUGUCCCAUUACAAGGCCCCAGGGUCUACAUUUAUACCCUGCUUAAAGAGCUGUAAUCAGACACGACUAGGACUCGAAUUCCAAAUUAAACAGAAUCCGUAUACAAAACUAUUUAAAUAACUAAGGAAAGCACAAAACUAUCCUCCCGUGACAAACUGGGACACCACCAUGGACCAAUCGGGAACCUUCACGUUCUCCUUCCGAGUCAUCAGCAGACUCCUCAUCACAGCCAUCGGCAAAGGCUAAUGCUGAUCAUCAGCAUGAACGCGUCACCACUUAUGGACUUAGCCAUAUUCAGCUGUCUCUUCAUCCGCAACCACCUUCAUCGGCAACUCCCCUGCAAACCAUUUACUGUUGUCCUAUCUUGCCGAUCUGUACUCUACCGAUUCCUGGGUACGUGUCCAAAAACGGUGUCAACACAUGCCCCCCAAUUUCGGAGUAUAAAAUCAUUAAUGCUCCCAAAUUCUCUGCAGUAAUGAUGCCUUUCCGCAAUUAAUCCUCUCAAUUUGGUAACCGACCGUUGAAGCCGAACAACUCUGGCCCGAUUCUUCCGCAGAUUCCUCGAAUUCCUCAACCUCCCAAACUGGACAUCUCCACUUUAUUCGCCCAUUGGCAAUAUUACCAUUAGAGGGAGCUGCCGAUGGACCGACCAGGAAAUCCCGCACAUUGAAAUAUCUCCAGAUUAUGGAUGCUUCCUGUCAAAUCACCUGCGCAAUCCCUUGAUUACCGUGCGAACAGUUACCAUAUCCACCUGAGUAUCCUCGGAUUUCACGGAUACGGCAAAGAGAUAAGUCAAAUUUGCCCUUUGCCCGUUUUGUCCUAUAAAUAGUUCCUUCUCGGGUACUCCUUCUCCAUCGCAUCAUUCUACAGCCCAACUCUGCUUUUCUGGCGGCGGCACUGUUCGAGAGCUCCAAAAACUCCAACAAGAACCUCCUCCAACAACCCCAAGUUCUCAAUCUUCUCUCCUGCGAGGAGAUGGCCAUCAACUUCGUCGUUCCUGAGGUCAGCGUACUGCUCUUUUUCCUGCACUUUCAUUGUAUCCCCGUUUAUCCGCAGUCUAUCUUACCGAAUUCUUUUUUCUUUUUGUUCUUCUUUUCGCUCCCAAAAAUUUCUAGGAUUUGGCCAAUAAAAUCGUUAUUCCUACCGAUCAACCCCACCUUCAAUGCCUUGGUCCACUAGGAAACUUGGAUCCCACCGAUCUUAUAAAUGCGGAGACAAACAGAAUCCCUUUUAGAGCCGAGAAUUUCUCUUUAGAUCUAUGGAAGGAUGCUUUUUGUUCCUAGCCCAAUCCUAUCAAGGGAUGGAAGGAUUGGUUCCUGAGAGUCAGUAACUCAAAUGAGGUCCAAUGGGGUGAACGGAAACUGGAUCAAUGCAUUAGAUUGUCUCUUGCCGAUAUGGAGAGAAACGAGUCGCUAGUGAUAGCUGCCUCAUACUUUUGGUCAGACACACUUAACGCUUUUGUUUUUGGCCAUGGCCCUCCUUCCCCCACUCUUACCGAUGUGCCUAUGCUCACUGGCUUAGAUGUAUCCACUGCUGAUAGUAGUCACAUAUUUGACACCCAACCUAGCGCUAAGGUGGAAACUCGCUCUAUCGGUGGCUGGUCUGGGUACAUUCAGAAGUACCGUAAAACAGGGCCUGUCGACAUAAAGGAACAGACCACCUUCCUAAACAUGUGGUUAGACAAAUUUGUAUUCUGCGGUCGAUCGGCAGGACCAACCUCCGUUUACCUAUCGGCAGCAGAGAGAUUAGCCAAUGGUGGCCGAUUUCCCCUCGGCCGAUACCUGCUUGGUUCUGCCUAUCAUCUUCACCACCAAGUAGCCCAGAAACUACUGCUUGGUCAACCCAUCGGCAACUUAGGGGGCCCUUGGUGGUUCAUCAACAUGUGGCUUAGCCUCCAUAUGCACAAGCGACUGGAAUUUGACCUCUUUGCACAGCGUUUCCCCAGGGAUAUAGCAGAGGAUCAUGAGUUAGAUGAAGAAGAAUCGGCAACCCGUCCUCCCUUAAACUGUGGUGAAGCCAUCACAGUUUUGCCUGGUAUUGGAGGCAAAGGAGAUCAACUCAGCCGAUUCUUUCAGACUCUUUACGAGGGUCUGAACAAAGAACAGCGAGAAUGGAUGCCUUAUGAAGACUCAGACACCAGAUUUCCUCUGACCUUUCACCCCUUCGACGAUGCUCUCAAUAAAGAUCAUGAUGUGAUGAUGGCUCUUAUCACUACCAGAGCUAUACCAGUAAACUUCUUUGGUAGUGGGAAAGCCUCCAACCAGACCUAUGAAUUCUACAACCCAUCGGCACUAGCCCGUCAGCUAGCUUUCGGUCAGCUGCCGAUUGCACUCUGUUAUGCCGAUGUGAUAAAACCCAGGGAAACCAUCACUAGUCUUCUCGAGUGGACCAGAAUAGCUCAACUGCCACCAAAUGCCGACACAGAUGCCGAUCUAUCAGAUUGGAUCCCGGCCCUCUUCAUUACUUAGGCAUACAAGCAAUGGUGGGAAGAAUGGAAAGAGCAUUUGUUCUGCAAAUCGGCUCUCACGUACCUCGGCAUGAUCGACCCCCAGUACAAAGUCCCUGAUAAUACUGUAAGUAUUUCUAAACCGAUGUUUCAAUCCUUUCACUUUUAUUUCCAUCGGUAACUCACUUUUUGUGUUAUAUUAUAGGUUGAUAACACACCCCCUUCGGUAAGCAGGAGUGGUAAGCCGAUUGAGCUCCUUCCAUCGGGUCCGAUUUCUUUGAUCGGCAACAACUCUCCAUCCCUGGCCGCUAUAAUGCAUCGGGGUGUACGUCUCAAGAAAGUCACUACCAAGCGGACGAAGGCAUCUCCGUCGGUAGCUGCCUCUACCUUAGCACAAGCCUUCAAGGUAAAUUUUCAAAUUCUUUUACCCAUACUGAUUCCAUUCUUACAUCUGUUACACUUGUACUCACAAAUUUUCAUUGUUGUAUUAGCAAACUGGCACAUCGGCAAAGACCAGAGGUGUGACUGCGAUGCCCCCCAGUCCAGCCAACCAAAGAGGAAAAGCUCCAAGAGUACCAGAACCCAGGCGAAGCGCCAGAGAACAGCAAUACCUUCUCCUCCCCCAGUGUCUCCAAUCCCAGUAGCAUCAUCCUCCUCUUCUCCAGAAAUCCAGACACAGCAGAUUCCAUCUCCUCCUCAGUCACAAGAAGAACUCCAACUGGAAGAGCUCCAGCCAGAGGUACCUCAGCCAGAAGAAAUACCGGCUGAUGUACACGAGCAGACCACCGAUUCAGCAAACCUAGUCACAGCAUCGGUAGUCUCCUCGAUUCAAACAAGCACUGCACCCCCUCCAGGUAACAUACUUUCCAUUUACUGCCGAUGAACCUGUUUUUCCACUUUAUUAAUCACUUCUGUCAAUCUUUCAGCUGACAAAGUUUCAUCGGCAAUCUCAGCCGAUCAGCCCAUGAUUCCAUCGGCGUCAUCCAGUCAGAGGCGAGAGAGGGCCUUGAAGCAAGUAAGUUACCUAAUCUCUAUCUGUAUUGUUUAUCAGUGCUUGAUCAUAGAAUAACUUAUUUUAUUUUCCUUUUCAGGAACAGGACUCUCCUGAUAGCUUGUUUUCUUUUGCCAUCGACAUCUCUGAGGAUGAAGGCGAGGAGGCAAGUUCUUCUCGAGCUAUCGGAAUCUCAUCGGCAGAAAUCGGAGCAAAGUUAGAAGAAUUGUCGGCCCUCCUUCAUCAAGACACGGCCCAAUUGGUUGACGAUUCCGAUCUAGCCAAGGCCUUGUUCAAGACUCUCAAUCGAAACUCUUGAACAAGAGCGAAACAUCCAGGCUCGUAAAGCACUGCAGAUGAAGAAGAAGCUGAAGCCGGUGGAGGGCUCUGCCGAUGAUGACAUGAAGGAGAUAGAAGAAGCCAACCAGAUCCGUCUACGCGCCAUAUCAAUGAUCUAGGCUUUGUUAAACAUCUGAAUUCUUCAUCGGCGGCAUAUUUGCCCUUUUCUUUUGAACACUCCUAAUAUUUUGCUCUAGCCGAUAGGACUGUUAUCGGCACCUUUUAAACGUUAAGUCCGGCCCCAGAUAUAGUUUAAUCCAGCCGAUAGGAAUGUUAUCGGCACUUAAUACUUUCAUGCAUCGACCCAUAUGCUCGGGUAAUAUUUCUUUAGAUAUUUGCCAUUUAAUGCCCUCGGAAAUUCAACUCCUUCGAGAGUUUCUAAGAUAUAGGCGUUGCCAGGAGCAGAUCGAUUUAUCCGAUAGGGACCCUCCCAAUUAGGAGACCACUUCCCAAAUUUUGAACUUUUAGUCCCGAUCGGUAAGACUAGCUUCCAUACUAAGUCUCCAUCGGCAAACUCCUUAGCUUUUACCUUCUUAUCAUACCAUCUAGCAACUCUCUUCUUAUUUUCUUCUAUACUCAUCAGAGCCCUUAGCCGAUGCCCUGCUAGAUCAUCCAACUCGUCUGUCAUCAAAGCAGCAUAAUCAUCGGCAGCCAAUUGAUCUUGAAAAGAUAGUCGCCUAGACCCAGUCUUAAUUUCCCAAGGUAACACUGCAUCAUGCCCAUACACCAACUGAUAAGGUGAAACUUUGGUCGACCCAUGACAAGCCAUCCGAUAUGACCAUAAAGCUUCAUUCAACAAUGUAUGCCACCUCCUAGGAUUUUCUUCAAUCUUCCGUUUAAUAAGCUUGAUGAUUCCUUUGUUAGAUGCCUCGGCCUGCCCAUUAGCUUGAGCAUAAUAAGGAGAAGAAUUUAAUACUUUAAUUCCCAUACCGAUUGCAAACUCAUCACUCCCCUGAUGUAAACAUAGUACCCUGAUCGGUAGUAAAUGUUUGAGGAAUUCCAAAUCGGUAUAUAAUAUGCUCUUUCACAAAAUCAAUCAUAUUGGCCGAUGUAACUUUCUUCAAAGGAAUAGCUUCAACCCAUUUGGUCAAAUAAUUAGUGGCAACCAAAAUAAACUUAUGUCCUUUGCUGGAUGGUGGAUAAAUCUGGCCGAUCAAGUCAAUAGCCCAUCCUCGGAACGGCCAAGGUUUAAUAAUGGGAUUCAUGGCCGAUGCGGGUGCCCUUUGAAUGUUGCCAAACUUCUGACAUCCUUGACACCCUUUGAAAUACUUAAAACAAUCCUCAAGUAUAGUCGGCCAAUAAUACCCAUUUCUUCUCAUCAUCCACUUCAUCUUAAAUGCCGACUGAUGUGCUCCACACACUCCCACAUGGAUCUCUCCCAUCAAACUUCUAGCCUCAUCAUUACCUAAGCACCUAAGAAGAAUUCCAUCAAUAGUCCGAUAAUAUAACUCAUCUUCAAGGAGCACAUACUUGGUAGCUUGAAACCGAACACGUCUCUCAACUUUCUUGGACGGGUCCUUUAAAUAAUCAAUGAUUUCUUUUCUCCAAUCAUCGGCACUGAUUGCCGAUACUGCGUUUAUCAUGGGCUGAUAUCCCGAGGCAUGCUGAGCCAACCGAUUGGCCUCAUCAUUAUGCAACCGAGGAACAUGCUCUAAUCAGAAAUCCUUGAAUUCCUUUAACAGUUGCAUACUCCUUUCGUGAUAAGUUAUCAGGACUUCGCUUCGGCACUCAUAGCUUCUAGCCAAUUGAUUUAUAACCAGCAUAGAAUCCCCGAAGAUUUCAACAGCAUCAGCAUGAACUUCCCUUAGUAAUUCCAACCCCUUUAUCAAAGCUUGAUACUCAGCUUGAUUAUUUGUUGACGUGGCAACAAUCGGCAAGGAGAACUCAUACUUCCUUCCCCGAGGGGAAAUUAACACUAUGCUGAUCCUUGCCCCCCGGUCACACAUGGAUCCAUCAAAGAAGAGCGUCCAAGGUACAAUUCCCAAAGUCUCCACUGUACCGCAAUGUUGAGUUACAAAAUCAGCCAUAAUCUGUCCCUUAACCGCUUUAGCCGAUUCGUAACGCAAAUCGAAUUUCGAUAGCGCCAAAAUCCACUUACCGAUCCUGCCACUCAUAAUCGGCAUAGACAGCAUAUAUCGGACCACGUCAUCUUUGCAUAUGACAGUGCAUUCAGCCGAUAACAAAUAGUGUCUCAACUUAAUACAUGAGAAAUAAAGACACAAACAUAACUUUUCAAUGGCCAAAUACCUGGUCUCAGCAUCAACCAAUCUCCUGCUUAAAUAGUAAAUCACACGUUCCUUCCCUUCAAAUUCUUGAAUUAAAGCCAAACCGAUGACCAUCCCAUCGGUAGACAAAUAUAACUUGAAGGGCUAUCCUUGUUGAGGUGGAAUUAGAACUGGAGGAUUUACCAAAUAAUUCUUGAUUUCAUCUAAGGCCAACUGUUGCUCUUUCCCCCAGACGAACUCUUGAUCGGCUUUCAUCUUAAGUAAAGGACUGAAAGCAUGAAUUUUACCAGACAAAUUAGAUAUAAACCUCCUGAUAAAAUUUACCUUGCCGAUCAAGGAUUGGAGUUCAGUCUUGUUGGUAGGAACAACUAUUUUGUUGAUAGCAUCAAUGGAUCUCCGGCUAAUUUCAAUCCCCCUUUGAUGCACCAUGAAACCAAGGAAUUGUCCUGCCGAUACACCAAAUGCACACUUAUUGGGAUUCAUCUUUAAACCAUGAUUCCUUGUGCAUUCUAACACCUUUCGCAAAUUGGCGAGAUGCUUUGUGAAGUCUCCAGACUUAACCACCACAUCAUUAAUAUAAAUUUCCACCAGUUUGCCGAUGAAUUCAUGAAAUAUAAAAUUCAUAGCCCUCUGAUAAGUAGCACCAGCAUUUUUCAAGCCAAAGGUGAUGACUAUCCAUUCAAACAACCCAACAUGACGAGGACAUCUAAAUGCAGUCUUUGGAAUAUCCUCUUCAGCCAUGAAUAUCUGAUUGUAUCCUGCAUUGCCAUCCAUAAAGCUGAUGAUCCGAUGUCUAGCCGCAGCAUCAACUAGUAGAUCGGCAACUGGCAUUGGAUAGCCAUCCAUCGGUGUAGCUUUAUUAAGAUUUCUGAAGUCAAUGCAGACCCGAAGCUUCCCAUUUUUCUUGUAAACCGGAACAACAUUGGAAAUCCACUCGGCAUACCGACACUGCCGAAUAAAUUUAGCUUCAAUAAGUUUGGUUAUUUCAGCCUUAAUAUCAGGAAGAAUAUUAGGAUUACAUCGGCAAGCUGGCUGUUGAUGUGGCCGAAAUCCAGACUUGAUAGGCAACCGAUGUUCAACAAUCGAUUGGUCCAAACCAGGCAUCUCAGUAUAAUCCCAAACAAAGCAAUCUUUAUAUUCUUUUAACAAAUCGGUUAAUUGCCGCUAACACUCACAUUAACUUAGCACUAAUAAAAGUCGGUCUAGGCUUAUCACCACUACCUAUAUCUACUUCUACCAAAUCAUCGGCCGAUGUGAAUCCCUGGCCCAAUUUUCCAUCAUCGGCGAACCUAUCCAUUAAAAACCUUCAUCAGAACCGACUGCUUGGAUCGGUGGAAUUUCAUAAUCGGCAACUUUGAGAAAAUCCUUCUCCCAAAUUUCUCCCGAGAUACACCUAGUCCUUUCAUAAGUGUCUGCUUCUGCCGAUGCAAUGACAUAAGAAGAAUCCCCCGGGACAAUCUCAAUCUUGUCACCUACCCACUGGACCAAGCACUGGUGCAUUGUAGACGGAUGCAACAAUUGGCAUGAAUCCAAUCUCUCCCUAACAGCAAGUUAUAAGCACCUUUUUCGCUGAUCACGAAGAAAGUUGUCAGCAAGGUUUUGCUACCGAUGGUCAACUCGACGCAUAUUGCCCACUUAACCGGAGACACGUUUCCCUCGAAAUCCUUUAACAUCAUAUCAGUCUUGGUCAAAUCUUGAUCCCCUUUUCCAAGCUUCCGAUAUACUGCAUACGGCAUGAUGUUGAUAGCGGCUCCACCAUCAAUUAAUAUCUUCGUCAUUGGCUGACCAUCAACCCUUCCUUUGACAAACAAAGCUUUAAGAUGCUGCCUUUCAUUGUCGGCAGGCUUUUCAAAGAUAGCCGUCAUCGGAUCUAGAGCCAACUGAGCUAUCUGGUCUGAAAACUCCAACUCCUCAUCAUCGCUGGACGGCGCAAGGAAUUCCAUCGGCAACAUAAAUACCAUGUUGACAUCUGCCGAUGGCCCUUUCCCCUUAGGAUCUAAUUGUUGCUGAUCCCCAGACUGGCCAGAGUUCUCGCCCUUGCUUAGCUCUUCUCAUCUUUCGCGCUGCAGUCUUCUUUUCUGUGUUUUAGUCAACCCCUCUGGACACCAGGGGGAAGUGGUGACUGCCUUUCCGAUGGACGACGAUGUUCCCUUGACUCCAUCCGAUAAGUGUUAGCGUCCCUGCAAAAUAUGAACUCAUCGGGAACCCGUGCAUUAGCCAUCUCCUCAAGCUCUUCCUAGUUACUGGGAAAAUAUUCAACACGAUCACCAAGUCUAUCGUGCACACUGAGCCUGCCCCCUAGUCGAUCAUGAACCGACGCUUUUCCCCUAAUCGGCCUAUUAAAUCACCGAUCAUCAUUAUGAUAGCGCCGGUCGUAUCUGUCAUACCGAUCACAACCGUUGCACUCAGGGCAAUCCCUAACAGUAGGCAACUUGAUGUUCUGCUCCCAGCAAUGGAUAAAGAAUGGGCAGUUCCAAUGAUCCUUGUGCCGAUUCCACUCCUGUCGGUGUCUUUCUUCUUCCUGAUGAUAGUUUUCUUGCUAGCGCCGAUACCGAUGCUCACGUUGCUGCCAAGUUUUCCGAGGCCUUCUGUGAGUUAUCAGAAUACCAGAUCGGGGAGGCCUUCCCGAGUUAAUCCCCUCCUGGAUCAAGCCUUUUCCUUUUGCAUUGGCAGUAGUAAUCUGAUGCUGAGGAUCCACCGAUGCACUUCUUUCAGCUGCUUCCGAUGUCAAGACCUUGGCCUUUCCCUUAGCAUCCAGCAUAUUUGUUGGGAAAGGAUGUUGAUCAAUCUUCAUCGGCUUCUGAGUUUUGGAGCUAUCAAAUUUGAUCCUCCCAGAUUCUGUAGCCGAUUCCAGCUGUUGUCUAAAAACUUUUGCACUGCAUUGGUGCUGUUAGAGGUUGCAUUAUGCCACUUGCAGUAUUUCAUCUUCUUUAACUCUUCAGCCGAUGGAAUCACAUGAUUGGGCGACAACUUGAUCUGGCCUUCCUAAAGUAGAAAGUCAAACAUCCUAUCGGCCUUGGUGAUAUCAAAUGCAAACUUCUCUGGCUCCUUAUGCCCGAAAGGACAAGACAUCGGCUUCUUAUUCUUUACCCAUUCUGCCAAGCCGAUGACUGGUUCUUCAUCAGAAUUUGAGCUUGCUGCCUCAUCAACAAAUGACACCUUUUUGUUCCAAGCCCUCUUAGGUUCAAAGGGCUUAAUAUCCUGGUCGGAAAUCCUCUGGACCAAGUGACUCAGGCUCUCGAACUCUUGAGAAGCAUAUUUGUCUCCGAUAUGUGGCAACAAACCUUGGAAAGCCAAAUCAGCUAGCUGCCGAUCAUCUAAAACCAGACUAUAGCAUUUAUUCUUGACCUCCCGCAACCUCUGCACAAAACUUUCAAUCGAUUCAUCAUUACGCUAUUUCAAUCUAACCAAAUCAGUUAUCUUCUUCUCAUGAACUCCAGAAAAGAAGUACUUGUGGAACUGCUUCUCUAGAUCGGCCCAAGUAAUCACCGAGUUGGGACGUAACGAAAUAAACCAGGUAAAAGCCGAUCUAGACAAAGACGAUGAAAACAAAUGAACCCUGUUUGUAGCUUCUCCACACUGGAUGAUGAACCUGUUGACAUGCUCCAUGGUUGACGUAUCAUCCUGCCCAGAAAAUAUAGUGAAAUCCGGUACCUUGUACCGAUUUGGAAGUGGAAUCAAAUCGUAUGCAGGAGGAUACGGUGUCCGAUAAGAGUAAGUGUUGACUUUGGGUUUUAUCCCAAAUUGGUCCCUCAUUACUUCAGCUAUCUUAUCGGCCCAAUAGGCAUCAGUAUCUUGUCGAUGGGGCGGUUGUGGAUCUGGUGCCUGCGGAUACACUUCCACAUGUCGAUGAGGCGCACGAUCUGCAUGGAACAUGGGGUUGAUUGUCUGACCACCAAACUGUUGACCAAGAUUCAUCGGCUGGUUGGGCAACCCUUGAUUGUGGAACCCGGGGUAGAUCUGGCCUUGCUGGAACCCUGAAGCUUGAUGAUUCUGUUGGGGCAUUUGUGGAAAGACUUGCUGCACAGGCCAUCCACUAUUGGCAUUCAUCGGUAUAGGUCCUGCCGAUGACUGGUAAUUGGGCAUCAUCAUUGAAUUGAUAUACCCUGGCUGAGUCAUAAACCUCUGCUGCGUCGGCAUUGAAUCUGCUGAUGCGUUAGGCAUCUAGAAUGUUGGAGCUUGAGAAUUCCCAGUGUAAGGUCUCGUAGUAGUAGUUGUAGUAUACUGGGGACUCUGGUUCAUCGGCAUAUUUGGAGGUGCCGAUGCCAUAGGAGCCUUGCCUCUCAUAUCAGCCGUUUGAGAUGUAUAGGUGUCUUCAACAUGAACUCUAGAGGCAUACCAAAACCCCACCAAUUAGGAGGAAUAGAUCCCAACAUUGCCGAUGCCAAUAGGUCUGUGGUGAGCUUGAUCGACUCAUCUGAUGUUGAUGUAUUGGCCGGCAUUGGCGUGGAUUAAGCGUUAGUGACUCCUAACGUGCUUGGAGGAACAGCUGUUUCUGCGCCCGCAGCGGCUGUCGCAGCCGAUGGAGCUGUGACAACUGGUGACCCCGGCUGAUGAUGAGAAGGACUGUUGGGUAUUUUAAACGCAAACAGAAAAAUCCGCAAGCGCACGGAUACCGAUGUAGCUUUCACCCGGGAGUAUUCCAGAGUAUCGAUUUUCCACAGAGAACGUGAGUGUACUAAUUAAGAUCCAAGAUCGCCCAAGGAUAACUAUAUAAGUAUUUUUGGUGGGAAGAGAGGAAGUUUCCUGAGAGUUCUCUAGUUGAUCUAAGAAUCAAGAAUUACUUCAAGAUUAUCUAUAUCGGGACAUCAGAGCACUAACCACAGAAAGAAAUGAGAAGGGGGCUAGGAAGGUCUGACUACGGUCCUACAAACACCGAUCCGAACGAGGUGGAAUACGUCGACCGUUAGGGUUGUCACUACCCUAAGGCUACCACAACAAUCCGCAGGAUUGGGUGCAAUUCCAGGUAAUCGCAAGACUAAACACCACGUCUAAUCUAUUAAUUACUACUCUAGCGUUAUAAAGACUAGAGCACUUGAUGCAAGCGGGAAUCCAAUAAAUAACUUGAAUGUAAAUAAAAGUAAUUAAAGAACUCAGGAAUUAUGAAUUGAAGAACUUGGAGAACGAUGAAGAACGAACCAGUUGCUGCAAAAGUAUAAUGUUGAGGAAGAUCCGACAGAUCCGGCUCCUCCUCCGCUCUCCUCUUCUCUCUCCCUAUUUUCUAGAUUACAACUAGAACUAACUAGAACUAGAACUAGAGGAACUAGAACUAGAACUAGAUGAACUAGAACUAGAUCUAGAUGAACUAGAGGUAGAACUAGAAGAACUAGAGGGAUCCUCUCUACUUGGAUGAAGAAUUGAAACCCUAGCUUUUCUGUAGAAGAGGUAUGAUCUCCAGGGGCCAGGGGGUCUAGUUUUAUAGUCCCUUCAAGUGAAUCUGGGCUGUUGGAUCAAACUGACAUUGAUUGAACGGUUAUUAUUGAUCCUUUAGGUCGGUGGAGCAAUAUCCUGAAAGAGAGUCCUGAUUGGACUCUGGCUGAGGGCGGGCGCCCUCAGAACUAGGGCGGGCGCCCUGUCCCUGAGGCCUCUCGUCUUCCGCUUUGUUCCCGUGGCUUCUGGAGUCUUCUAGAUGAUAGAAAAUUGCGCGGCACGUUAAUAUCUUUAUGUAAACCCGACGUGUGGGCCUUUCUUCCAUAAUUCCUGAUAACCCCCAGCAGAAAUAGACAAACACCAAAACUUGUGGAAUUUUGUCAGAUAAACCCCUAAGUCUAGGUGUUGGUUGCAUUUGGAUCCUUUUCUAUGAUUAAUUGAUGGUUAAUUGUGAGCAUUAAGGACCGUCAACAAGCUCCCCCAAGCUUAACCUUUGCUCGUCCCUGAGCAAAGAUGGACUCAAGAGUUUCUGCAGUGGUUUCAUGCCUUAAAGAUACACAUGUGUUCAAACAAGAUCUCAUCUCUAGGUUAGGGUAAACUGUUAAGAUUUAAACUUACUCAUUUUACCUUCCACCAUGGGGCUUGUAACCAUCACUUGUGUCUUGAGCAGUUAAAAGAUAGAACGGUCUAGUCAAGCACCUUGUCUCUUGUUCUUCGAUUAACUAUAGCUCUGGAGUUUUUGCAGAUUUUCAAAUAAAACUCAGAGAUUCCUUGUAUGACUCUCUCUAGUCUCUCUUUUGUGGUAUUUCUGGAUCCUUACCAAGGCAGUAAUGGUGUACGCCUUCUCUCAAAGUAUGUGGUAUUUGUGGUAUAAGGCAUAGUGACAUUGCCUUCUCUCUCACCCUACUCUAAUAAGGUUUUGAUAUAUGGAGCUCAUAGGUGGGAGACAGCUAAUACAUACUUACAAGACAUUUAUUGCAUAGUCAAACCAUGGAUCCAAAGUAACAAGUCAAUAAGUCAAAUCAAGAUGUGCAUGUGUGGCGAAUGAAUGGUGUAUGGUGAUGAUGGUGAUAACAAUGGUGAAAGUCUAAUUCUACUUGUGCUCUUUUGAGGGGAUACAUACCUUUCUUGCUCUUUUAAAACUUUUUGAGGAGAAUGAGAUGCUCUAUAUUUUUUUUCUUUUCUCUCAGGUGGGUAUCUUGUACCCCUAAUUCUACUAUCGAACACUUGUCCAUUUUUACCUCUCGUCUCACUUUUUCUUUUCUUUCGAGGUUCCGGGCACUUGCCCCUUUUUAUUUCCUCGUAUCUAUUUUUUUUUCUCUCUUUUUUUUUAUAUUAGAGCACUCAUCUCCUGAAAUAAUAUAGCAAGUGGUAGUAACCAAGAUAACUUGAGCAUUUAUUUCACAGGGGAAAACAGAAAUGUUUUUGGUUAUUCUCUCCCUGAUUAGGAGUAGAAUAUUUUUGGGUGGUUUUGGAGAUGGAAAUGGAUGGAUAUAUGUGGAUGCGUACUUCUAGAGUAGAAGCAGCAUGUAUGAGUGAACGUGCAAGUGAAUCUUGAUUUAACCACAUGACAAGCUCCUAAGGGUCUACACAGCUUGACCAUACUCAAUGCUCAUAAGCAGUAAAAAGUACAUGUGUGGUUCAUAGUCUAACAAGCAUGUAUAUAUGGCUGUGGUAGGAAUUUAAACUCUCAUCAUACAGGAACUCAUCAUGCAGCAUUUUAAAGAUUUUCAAAGAUAAAAUUCUCCAGAAUUCUAGCAUCUCUAGGAACAGACAAACAGCAGCUCAACCUUCCCAUAUCAUAUCCGUUAACGACUUAGACUUUAGAUCAAGUACUCUUCCCACAAGUUCAGGUUUAGAGCAAAUUUUAAUUCAUAACAGUCAUGCCUAAACUUGAGAGAGAUUUCAAUUUUUAGAACUAAUCAUGCCAGAGCAACUAUUCAUCAUUUCCAUGUGAGAGCUUAUCAUGAGGGUUCAUAGCAGACUUUAUUUAUUUAUUUAUUUAGCAAACUAAGCAAAGAUAUAUAUAAGCACAAAAUCUUUAUUUGGGUUUCUAUGAUUAUGCAUCUUUUUAUUAUUAGAGUAAAGUAUAACCAUGAAUAGAAACACUUAGCUGGAUAAAUGGGGGUGCUCUCCCCCAAGCUGGAUUUUGACGUAGUUUCUCCUGAUGUAGCUAGCAAGUGGUGGAGGUGUAUUUGAACGUCAGCAGCACCGUGACAGCGAUUAGGAUGUCCUCCGUCUGCUAGUCUUCUUUGAUCCUUGAAUUCUGUGGAGCUCAAAUAGACAACAAAGCUUUGUGGAACUAGUUAAGUGUUAGCAUAAAUAUCUAGCCUUUAUCAUGUUGAGCCUCCUCAAUAAAUGUUACUCUCUUUAGUAGGAUCAUAAAUUUAUUUUUAUAUUUUCAUUUUUAUAGGACAGGAAUAUAUUUAUUUUAUUUUUACGCCACCAUAGUGAAUGUACUUAUGUGUUUUAUGCCAUGAGCAUACUCACAUGGGGCUUACUAUUUUUAACAUUUUUAUUUUAUUUUCAAGAUGAUAUGAACCUGAUUAACUAAAAUAAUUGAAAGGAAAAAGAUAACUACCAAGUUUACCUCUUGGCAAGGCGUUCGGUGUUUUUAAGUCCUCCGAACGGGACUCUCCAUAUUCUCAGUCGUCCUGGGAUUCGCUGGAUGGCGUAGUCGGUGGUUCCGGCGGCGCCUGCUCUUCAUGUAUAACUAUCUUCUUUCUCCACACCUGACUCGGUGCUACGGUCUCCUCACGACAGUUCUGUUCAAGUUGUAUGUCUUCAGACCUUAUCACUUCUCCUUUGUAGUCUGACCAUCCGUCUUUGAUGAUUUGCCUCCUCUGGUUGCGGUUGCGUCGUCUUCUUCUUGUCCUGACCUGCUUAGAAUCUUCAACUAUAUAGUUAGGGUCAGUAAAAUGGCGGCGUACCUUCUCAGAGGUGAAGUGCAUGUGGACUUCUCUAGAUCCAAUGUAGAUGAUUGCUUUAACAGUGCUGAGGAACAGUCUCCCAAUGGUGAUGGGUGGAUUGUACUCGUCUUCUCCCAUGUCAAUAACCUUAAAAUCUUUCGGAAUGUCUGAUCUGCCAUCUGGAGCUGAAUGUAUGUCGGUUUUAGGGGCAUGGUUCCGAACAGGAGCUAAUAGGUGACUGGGUCGUCCUUUUUGGUUAGGAAUGGUGACUUAAGUCGCCGAUCUUGACCUCCUUAAACUGUAGUGACCAUCUUAGCUGACUUGGUCCACAUUUGCUUAUUCCUGUUGCUCCUGUUGGUCCUCUUCCUUGGUUCAUGUUGGGAUUGCUCUGAGAUUUGUGUAGUCUUGUUCUCGAUGAAAACGUCUCCUUCAUCCCCUUGAUGUAGAAACUAAUAUUGGCAGCACUAGCGUAGAUGACAGCUCCCGAGGUGUUCAGGAAUGGCCUCCCUAAGAUGGGUGCCCUCUCAUCAGUACCAGUCUCUAUCACCACAAAGUUUGCUGGGGCGUACAAGGUACCAACUCAGACGUAGAGGUUCUUCAAUAUUCUCUUUGGGAAACUUAGCGUACGAUCUGCAAGCUAAAAACACAUGGCUGUUUCUAAUAAAGGAUGUGUAAAGAAUUUUUCAUAGAGUACCCUAGGCAUAAUGUUGACGCUCGAGCCAAAGUCGCAAAAUGCUUCUAGGAAGUCCACCAUGUCGAUGGAGAUCGGGAUGACGCGGCGUCCUGGAUCGUCUCUCUUGACCGGCAGAAGGUCAGUAAUUACUUCCACAACGGGGUUACUCCAGUAGUUACGUCCUCAAGCAUCUCAGGGCAGUGAUUGCCUGAGUGUCCAGUAUCUCCAGUGUGUUUAUGCUCGUAGAUCUAGGUUCUUCACUUGGUGGAGUCUAGGAGUUGUAAAAGUCCUUCAUAUUUUGCUCAAAGUGUACCUGCUCAUAGAAAGAAGGCAGAGAUCAAGUGCAUGGGCCCUGUUGGUGGAAAACACCAACAGAACCAAAAGUGUAUUUGUUCUUCUCUAACCUUA